rnacentral:lncRNA from 1 species
CAGUGAGUUUACAUGUUAGAGGGAGUGGGGUAUAGUGACACAGUAACAGAGGGAUUGAGGGCAUGCUCAGUGAGUUUACAUGUUAGAGGGAGUGGGGUAUAGUGACACAGUAACAGAGGGAUUGAGGGCAUGCUCAGUGAGUUUACAUGUUAGAGGGAGUGGGGUAUAGUGACACAGUAACAGAGGGAUUGAGGGCCCUGCUCAGUGAGUUUACAUGUUAGAGGGAGUGGGGUAUAGUGACAGUAACAGAGGGAUUGAGGGCCCUGCUCAGUGAGUUUACAUGUUAGAGGGAGUGGGGUAUAGUGACACAGUAACAGAGGGACUGAGGGCCCUGCUCAGUGAGUUUACAUGUUAGAGGGAGUGGGGUAUAGUGACACAGUAACAGAGGGAUUGAGGGCCCUGCUCAGUGAGUUUACAUGUUAGAGGGAGUGGGGUAUAGUGACACAGUAACAGAGGGAUUGAGGGCCCUGCUCAAUGAGCUUACAUGCUAGAGGGAGUGGGGUAUAGUGACACAGUAACAGGGGUUUAGGGCCCUGCUCAAUGAGCUUACAUGCUAGAGGGAGUGGGGUAAAGUGACACAAAAGGUAAGGAUAGUAUUAGGGAAGUAGAUUGGUAGAAUAGUAUUCAAUGAAGAGGUUUUUGGAGCCAUUAACAGUUUGAUAUGCUUUUGAGAAAAAGUGAGUUUUUAAUAUUUUUUUGAAGGAGUGGAGACUGGGUGAGCCUCUAACGGAAAAGGGAAGGGAGUUCCACAGGAACGGUGCAGCCCUAGAGAAGUCUUGAAGGCGAGCAUCAGAGGUGGGAGUACGGACAGAGGAUAGACGCUGGUCUUCGGCAGAGCGUAGGGGCCUAGACGGGACAUACUUGUGUAUUAGGGAGGAUAGAUAGGUAGGAGUAGCAUGGUGUAGAGAAUAAAACAGUGUUUUCUGCAUUGGAUAUAGUCUGGUCUCUGAUUUCAUUAAAUACACACUAUGACCAGUUACAGAUUUUACAUACAACUAAGGUCGUUAUAUCUCUUUGUUCAAUGUUCGAGUCUGAUUCUCAGAAUAAUAUUCACCAAACUUCAAAUGGGACUGAAAUGAAAACUGAAUCUUAAAAUUUAGACUAAAGUUGCCAGUUGGGGAUAUUUUUUCAAAUAUCAGUUGAAUUUUCUAGCAUUACGAUUUGAUAUUCAGUGAAUGAAGCCACAGUGAGAGCCAUAUAACAAAUGCUUUGAUUUACGACAUAUUACAUAUUUCUAUGUGAAGUUAAAGAAUUGCAUUUUUCCCUCUUGUGCAUUUUGGGGAUUAUUGGCACUAUAGUUGCUAUUAACACGGUAAUCACUGCAUUUACUUGCUUAGUGCUUUGCAAUUGGAAUGAUUAUUUGUUAAAUUUAAGGGAACAAUAUUUUGACUCGCACACAUUUAGCGAUGGAGAUAACAGUUUGGAAUGUCGGUUCUGGGGAUUGAGAACAGAUGGACGAGGCAGGAUGAAGAUUUAUACUGGAGAUUUCAACCUUGGGGACGUUUAUAAAAGAGAGGAUAUUUGCUAAAGAAUUGAAAAAUAGAAAACAAGGAUUUAGGGGAUGAGUGGUUUACUAAAGACGUUAUUCAGUAAAAAGGGAAUUUUGGUGAAUUGUACAUCAAAUUACACUAAUAAUGCUAAUAUAGCUGUUGUGAAUAUAUCUGAACUCGGAAAUGUAUCUAACGCAGCAAUUUUGGAUUCAAUUUACUAUAAUUUAGUCAUGGAGGUAUUAUCCCCAAUUCAUUUCUUGCUGUAAUCGUGGCUUGGUUCCACUGCUCAAAGUUACUGAUUGUAGAAUCCCACUACCAUACAUCUGUAAAUCAAAGUGCUUAACUACAUAACCCAUAAACACCGGCAUAAACACUCUUACUGGAUGCAGUGGGUCAGGAUUGUCAACCACGUGUCUGAAUACAAGUUAGGCUGGCAGCAGACACACAAUUCGGUCCCAGUCAGAGCAGGUCAUGUGCAGAGCAUUGUUCAGUCCCACUCUGAGCAGGUCAUGUACAGAGCGUUGUUCAGUCCGAGCCGGAGCAGGUCAUGUGCAGACCGUUGUUCAGUCCCAGUCGGAGCAGGUCAUGUGCAGAGCGUUGUUCAGUCCCAGUCGGAGCAGGUCAUGUGCAGACCGUUGUUCAGUCCCUGUCGGAGCAGGUCAUGUGCAGAGUGUUGUUCAGUCCCUGUCGGAGCAGGUCAUGCGCAGAGCGUUGUUCAGUCCUACUCGGAGCAGUUCAUGUGCAGAGCAUUGUUCAGUACCACUCGGAGCAGAUCAUGUGCAGAGCGUUGUUCAGACCCAGUCGGAGCAGAUCAUGUGCAGAGCGUUGUUCAGUCCCAGUCGGAGCAGGUCAUGUGCAGACCGUUGUUCAGUCCCUGUCGGAGCAGGUCAUGUGCAGAGUGUUGUUCAGUCCCUGUCGGAGCAGGUCAUGCGCAGAGCGUUGUUCAGUCCUACUCGGAGCAGUUCAUGUGCAGAGCAUUGUUCAGUACCACUCGGAGCAGAUCAUGUGCAGAGCGUUGUUCAGACCCAGUCGGAGCAGGUCAUGUGCAGAGCGUUGUUCAGCCGAGUCGGAGCAGGUCAUGUGCAGACCGUUGUUUAGUCCCAGCCGGAGCAGGUCACGUGCAGACCGUUGUUUAGUCCCAGUCGGAGCAGGUCAUGUGCAGACCGUUGUUUAGUCCCAGUCGGAGCAAGUGAUUUGCAGAGCGUUGUUCAGUCCCAGUCGGAGCAGGUCAUGUGCAGAGCGUUGUUCAGUCCCUGUCGGAGCAGGUCAUGUGCAGAGCGUUGUUCAGUCCUACUCGGAGCAGUUCAUGUGCAGAGCAUUGUUCAGUCCCACUCGGAGCAGAUCAUGUGCAGAGCGUUGUUCAGACCCAGUCGGAGCAGGUCAUGUGCAGACCGUUGUUUAGUCCCAGUCAGAGCAGGUCACGUGCAGACCGUUGUUUAGUCCUAGUCGGAGCAGGUCAUGUGCAGACCGUUGUUUAGUCCCAGUCGGAGCAAGUGAUUUGCAGAGCGUUGUUCAGUCCCAGUCGGAGCAGGUCAUGUGCAGAGCGUUGUUCAGUCCCUGUCGGAGCAGGUCAUGUGCAGAGCGUUGUUCAGUCCCAGUCGGAGCAGGUCAUGUGCAGAGCGUUGUUCAGUCCUACUCAGAGCAGGUCAUGUGCAGAGCGUUGUUCAGACCCAGUUGGAGCAGGUCAUGUGCAGAGCGUUGUUCAGUCCGAGUCGGAGCAGGUCAUGUGCAGACCGUUGUUUAGUCCCAGUCGGAGCAGAUCACGUGCAGACCGUUGUUUAGUCCUAGUCGGAGCAGGUCAUGUGCAGACCGUUGUUUAGUCCCAGUCUGAGCAAGUGAUUUGCAGAGCGUUGUUCAGUCCCAGUCGGAGCAGGUCAUGUGCAGAGCGUUGUUCAGUCCCUGUCGGAGCAGGUCAUGUGCAGAGCGUUGUUCAGUCCUACUCGGAGCAGUUCAUGUGCAGAGCAUUGUUCAGUCCCACUCGGAGCAGAUCAUGUGCAGAGCGUUGUUCAGACCCAGUCGGAGCAGGUCAUGUGCAGAGCGUUGUUCAGUCCGAGUCGGAGCAGGUCAUGUGCAGACCGUUGUUCAGUCCCAGUCGGAGCAGGUCAUGUGCAGAGCGUUGUUCAGUCCCAGUCGGAGCAGGUCAUGUGCAGAGCGUUGUUCAGUCCCUGUCGGAGCAGGUCAUGUGCAGAGCGUUGUUCAGUCCCAGUCGGAGCAGGUCAUGUGCAGAGCGUUGUUCAGUCCCAGUCGGAGCAGGUCAUGUGCAGAGCGUUGUUCAGUCCCAGUCGGAGCAGGUCAUGUGCAGAGCGUUGUUCAGUCCCAGUCGGAGCAGGUCAUGUGCAGAGCGUUGUUGUGGAGGAGGUCAUGUGCAGAGCGUUGUUCAGUCCUACUCGGAGCAGGUCAUGUGCAGAGCGUUGUUCAGUCCUACUCGGAGGAGGUCAUGUGCAGAGCGUUGUUCAGUCCUACUCGGAGCAGGUCAUGUGCAAACUGUUGUUUAGUCCCAUUUGGAGCAGGUCAUGUGCAGAGCGUUGUUCAGUCCCAGUCGGAGCAGAUCAUGUGCAAACCGUUGUUUAGUCCCAGUUGGAGCAGGUCAUGUGCAGAGCGUUGUUCAGUCCCAGUUGGAGCAGGUCAUGUGCAGAGCGUUGUUCAGUCCCAGUUGGAGCAGGUCAUGUGCAGACCGUUGUUCAGUCCCAGUCGGAGCAGGUCAUGUGCAAACCAUUGUUUAGUCCAAGUCGGAGCAGGUGAUUUACAGAGCGUUGUUCAGUCCCUGUCGGAGCAGGUCAUGUGCAGAGCGUUGUUCAGUCCUACUCGGAGCAGGUCAUGUGCAAACUGUUGUUUAGUCCCAUUUGGAGCAGGUCAUGUGCAGAGCGUUGUUCAGUCCUACUCGGAGCAGGUCAUGUGCAAACUGUUGUUUAGUCCCAUUUGGAGCAGGUCAUGUGCAGAGCGUUGUUCAGUCCCAGUCGGAGCAGGUCAUGUGCAAACUGUUGUUUAGUCCCAUUUGGAGCAGGUCAUGUGCAGACCGUUGUUCAGUCCCAGUCGGAGCAGGUCAUGUGCAGAGCGUUGUUCAGUCCCAGUCAGGACUUAAGUAGGACCCAGCAUUAGUCCCACUUAAUUCAAUAAAUAUUUUUCAGUAAUUAGAAUAAGAGAACUGUAUGUCAUGAAAUCUAAUGUAACUUUUAAUUAUCAGAAUUCCAGCCAUGCGGUUUCCUAUGAGCGAAUGUAACUUACAGUGAUUGCAGCUCCACGGACAUGAAUUAAUGUGAUGACAAUUCCAUGUACAGUGUGACCUAUGACCUAAUGCACCACAUACAGUGAUUGCAAUUUCACACACUAUGUUCUGAGCUGUUGUGACUUUCGGUGUUCGCCAUUCCACGCACUAUCCGUCCUGUGAACUAAUGUGUCUUUCGAUGGUCUUUCCAUGGUCUGAGUGCUCCAGAUUAGAACAGGUGCAUCCAAUGGUGUCCUCGCACCACGCUAUCCGGUGACAGUUUUCUGGUGAACCCAAAAGUUUAACAAAGUUAGGACAAGAAAUAGGCAUUGACUCGCUGAAAUGAGGACGAGUGAUUAACGAGUGCACUGCUGUCUGGCUAAUUUUACAUUUCAGAUCAUUUCUUCUACAGUUCAUGUUGUUUUUCAAGCAAUGUCUUUUCUCUCACUCUGCCGAUAAAGUACUUUACACCGUCCCGUGGGUACAUGGUGGAACGGGGCAUAAAAUGCUUUUAUUUGUGUGUUUUAUUCUGUUGUUCUGUACUUUGCAGUUUCUAUCGUCGUGAAUGAUUAUGUUGUUUCUGGUUGCGACAUGUUUUCCCAUUUAAAUACUUUGCAAAACAUGUCUGGUUACAGGAUUGUCUGAUUUUUUCCACGUUUCUGUUUAAUUUUUUUUGCAUUCUUAGAAUAGUGUUUACUCUAAAUGUGAAGGACAAAUAAUAAGAUAAAGCAGAAUUAAAUGAACUCACAGACGCAGUCACAGAGUUACUCACUAAAUAAUGUAUUGCCAGCAAUUCAAAAGGAUUUUCAAAUUAUUGUUUUCCUGGCAAUAAUUCAUUUAAAAUAGGGCACAAAAACUAAAAAAGAGCAAAAUCGUGCUAAUAUAAGCUACUUACAGCAAGAGGCUAAACGACAACAAAUUGGCACCUUUUAGGGGUUUUCGAUUACAUCACAAGUGGUGUACAGACAGCCAGGUGCAUUAAUGAUGCUAUCAGGUGGCAGUUGUGUCAUUAACCCAUGGUACUGUGUGUUUCAUUCAGGUUUCCCUAAACAGAUAUUUGUGUAUUGUGCACAGGCGUAUUCAUGGUAUUAUAAAUUCUGAGAGUUAUGUUGUAGUUACAGUGCUUAUUAAUCCUGUAAUUGGUGUAACUGAUUAACAAGGAAUCGUUAAUUAAUCUUGCUAGUAUUCCUCAUUAGAUCAGGGAGAUCAUUCUGCUCAUGUAGAAAUAUAUUUUGGUAUUGCAUAUUCGUUGGGAACAUUCUUUUCGAAGCCUUUCAGGAGUUGAGAUGUUGAAUUUUCCAUGGUUCUAUUAAAUUGUUACUAACUCAUCUUCUGAAGGUUUGCUAUCUGUUGUGUUACCAAUCAUUGGAUUCUGAGUUUGCCCCAUUUUAAAAAUGAAAACACCCAAUAUUGCCUAUCACCCCUCUUUGCUCCUUUUAGAGUUUUAGUUCCAAAAGUCGAUUAGCAGUAAAUAGAAUUCUUUUAGUCUGAAGAUUUAGGGAUUUUUAUGUUAGUUGAUGUUUUUCACUUAAGCCACUUGAAAAAGGAACGCAACUGUUUGAAAGUACUAAUUGACUCAAUGGUCCAGAAAAUAUAAUAAACAGCACAACUUUUAGAAGGCACUCACCAGCGUUCAUAGAACUGAAAUCCUCUGCGACAGAUUCUAAAACCAUUAAAAAAUGAAUUUUAAGAUUAAAUGUACAGAAGGUUUUUAUACGACACAAGAGGUUGAUAAUAUUGCUAAUAAACAUUACCUACUCAAGUCACUAAAAAGCAACAAAUUUAAUAUUCUUUUUUAAAAAAAAAGUGGCAAAUGUCAGAACAUGUAGUAGAAAACUACCAAACGGUACCAACACAAAAUAUGUCCUUCUAUGGGCCAAAGAUAAGAGCACCCAACAUGCGUACGGUUUCAUGGCAUUAAACACUUUGCUCCAGAGUUGUUCCUCUUUUAAACUGCUAAAUAUUAUAAUAUGGGACAAUCAGUUAUCUUUUUUUUAACCCUGGUUUAAGUUCUUCUCUAGAACGAUCACAUGUGAUAUAAUUUAUAUAGACUGCAAGAUAUGAAUACACCCAGAAAUCAUUCUGCCUUCUGGAUACUUUGUUCUUCCCUCUGCUCUAUAGAUUGACCAGGUUCCAUUGCUAAGCUCUUUCCCUGUAUGUCUUGUUUAGAUAGGGAGAUUUGUUUUGGACCGAACUGUAAUUCGGCUGAAUUUGGGCUAAACUAAUAAUAUUCAGCAGAAUUCCCAAAUUCCUAGCAGAAAUAUAUCUGCAUUUCAGACUACCUGAAACGUUCGAUGUCGAACAUACCUGGGGGCAAUAUGGUAAAUUCCACCGAAGGGGACAUAAAAAAAGAUGAUUGAUGUUUAGGGGACUGCCACUUAAUGUUUAUUUUAUUCACAGAUCAAAUAAGAAGUGAGCAAUAGAGGGGAAAAAUAGCAGGAGCAUUAAAAUAAUCUAUAUUUAUUAAAUAUCGAAUAUAUAUAUCUGUAGAUAUCUUUAUCUAUCUAUAAAUACAGAUAUUUUUAUGCUGCUCCGUUUUUUCCUAUGUUUGGUUACUUCUUCUCAGUGGAUCUGUGAACCAAAUAGCAUGAAAAUGCUCCUAUCGGUGCACUGCCAAAAUACAUAGAUAAUAUUUAUAUUAUAUUACUUAUAUAAUGUUAUAAUAUUUAUAUAAUAUGUAUUUAUACAUUGCAGCACACUGAUUGGACCCUUUUUGGUCUGCAUUCCAGUUCUGGUUUCUGAAUGGACAUUAGGCAGAACCGUCGCUUGAAAAAAAUGAUUCUGCAGAAGCAACAUUUCUUGCAGUGAAGAUAUCUAGUGAUUAGCACGUUCUGUUCCUGCCCUGUACGAGGUUACGGAAUACAAUAUCACUGUACCAAAACUAACUAGUGUAUUCGUCUCUCAGAAUACCCACAUUAGAACGGAUUUACCCGUAAACUCCUUCCUUAAACCCAGAACCUUUAAAAGUCACUAGAUCUGUUUGAAUUGUCUUAGCUACAAUAAGGUUAAAUGAUUUCUUUUCUGUGAGUAGAAUUGAUAUUAUAUCAGCAGCCUUCACAAUGAAGGACACGAACCCUUGAAUAAGACGUAUUCUCCUAUAGUGCAUUAAGUACAGAGAUCCCCUUAUUUACCUUCUCUGGGGAUACAAUGUUUUCAGAUACAGAAGAGAUGUAUUCUAUAGGACGAUUGUAUGGCACUGGGCUGAGCCUUUUCAUAGCAGAUCGAUGUGCUCAUGCUUCCCUUGAGAAUAAAGCCUGCAUUUCUACCAAAAUGAUAAGGCAUUAAAUGCCUGUGUUAGAAUAUAUUUUUGCCCUUGUUUUCUGAGCCUCCCCGAGGAAUAGUUAUAUUGGCUAAAGUUUCACGGUGCAGAUUGUACACUUGCAUCUAUUGCUGGAGAGGAUCAAUCACAUUUAAUGAGGAUAACGCAGUUUGUUCGAUUCGUGCCAUCAUGUGUCUUCAGAUGAGAGGGCCAAGCAGACUCUAACCUGUAUACACUAUCAGCACAACGAGGCACUGAGGGCUGGGAGACAUCGAAGACAAAACAUCACACCUGGAGGGAAAAACAGGAAUCGCUGACUAUUAGGGUCUCACCUCAAAAACUGCAAGCAGUUUUAUUCAAAUAAAAUUUCACCUAAGAAGACGUUAAUUAAUUUAUGACCUAUUCUCCUGUACUGCGGGAGUUGCCAUGAUCUCAAGUUUAUUAAGAUUACACUAGCUAAUGCCUGCCUACCCCUUCUUACCCUAUCCAGACAGGGGGCAUGUGAGCUUUAUUGCAGGUACAUUAGUGUCUCUAGCAGAGACAGGACUAUUACAGGAGCUUUGGAGCAUCCACUACACUCGUUUCUGAUAGGCAGCAGGUUCUCCUGCCCUCCCCUACUAUUGACUAUUUAUUAUUAGGAGUGUUCAAAACAUAAGGCCAGGCUAUGUGGCAAUUUUACUUCAUCGUGUGGUUCUACAACAAAUGGAGAUUUAAAUAUUUGCUUGUUCCCUUUCUAGGUUUAAAUGUUCAGAGACUUCACUCGUGCCAAGUUAGCUUUGAAAGAUGAAAGUGUCACUGCUAUCACAGGAUGUCGCUGAUCAUGGAAGCUGGGUGCCAUCUCAGCUUGGCAUCUUUGCAGAAUUUGUGAACUUUAACAACAGCUUGUAAUUUUCAUUGCGUUUAUUUAACAUUUUGCUUUUUAACUUCCAAUUACAGGUUUCAAUUCAUAUAAAUGCCAACUGAUGUCCAAGUUCAAACAAAACAAAUGAAGGCCUGGAUUGCCUAUCAAUCUAUUACAAUUAAUUAGAAACAGGAAGGCACACUAGUCAAGUGACAUGAGAAUUUAUUAACAAAAGCAAACCAGCCAAAUUANNNNNNNNNNNNNNNNNNNNNNNNNNNNNNNNNNNNNNNNNNNNNNNNNNNNNNNNNNNNNNNNNNNNNNNNNNNNNNNNNNNNNNNNNNNNNNNNNNNNGGGUGCUCACUCAAAGGAUCCCAUUUCUCCAAGGACCUAAAAAAUCUAUGGAAAAUACUGAAUAAGGUGCACAACCAUACAGACAGAAAAACGUUAUUAAUUGGGUCCAACAGAAUAGGUAUCCCAAGAUACAAACACAAAGAGAAAAAGUCUUAGUAAUAAUGCCACAAUACAAAGCAUGUACAAAAUGUAUCACGAUUCUCUAUACUUAGAGUAAGUAACUACAAAAAGCAAACAUGCCAAUCUAGAUACAAAUUGAAUUAGAUACCCAGAAAGAGGAACCCAACAGACCAUACAUAGUGAGAAGAGGGAGAAAAUCAAAAAGACGCCCCCUUAAUGUCAAAGAAAAAGAAAUUCCUUUAUCUAGCCACUAAUAAACCAAGAGCGUGAUCGGUGGCCACCCACAAUGCUUGAGAUCUUAUGGUUAUGGUCACCAAGGAUACCAAUAUACAGGAUGUAUGUAUGCAAUUGUACUUAACAGAAAACUCUCAGGGAUAAGAAAAUUCAUGAACAUAAAUAUUUAAAACAAUGAAAAAAAUAUGACAACAAAAAUAAUUAAAUUAAAAUCUAAAUAAGUACCUGCCUUAUUUGCAUGUGCGUUCCACAAAUAUCCCCAAUCAGAUUCAUCAGAGCAAUAACCCCACCCCAGGCUACGGGCAGGGAGGUGCUGCAAAACACACAGCCGGCCGCACCGGAAUAUCAUUUAAUGACUCCAGGCGCAAACAGUCUAUCAAUCUAGUGACUGUAUUGGCAGUUUAUUGGCUCCCGAUAAGCCUUUUAUCAGUUGACAUGAAUGUAACAUCCACCGUGAAAGAGUUAUUGAGAGCCGAUAGAUAUUGGACAUAAUAUCCGUCCAAAAAUAUUAACAAAAAUCGACCAUAUACUUGUCAUUUGAAAAAGAGAAAUAAAUAAUAAUUACAGCAAAGAAUGGUAGAGAAAUAUUUUGUGGCUAUUUGCUACUCGCACCACUAGCAGACAGUGUGAAAAUAGUAAAGUAAGGAAUGUGGGGGGCAUAUGGGGGCUAUACACCUCCCCCAUGUCCCCUCUCACCAUGCUCUCUGCUUGCUGAAGUGAAAGACUAGUGACUAGUACAGGUAAUUAUAAUAAGUCGAAAAGAGACUAGUAUCCCAAUAGGGAAACUAGUAUAUUAGUGUGUCAGGGACAACCUCAUAGGGGGUAACCCUUACUGGAGUAAGAAAUAAAGAAAAUUCCAGAGAAAUAAUCUCUGGAAUAGUAGGUAGGAGGUCCCUCUAUCCACCAGAUGAAUUGUAUUGUUUAAGAUAAAAUAUAACUUUUAUUCAUAAAAUUAAAAAGUAAGAGUACAGAAAAAAGUAUAUAUGUUUAAAAAUAAAAAAAAAAAUCAAUAGACAGGCAGGUAUACCAAUAUGUCCACUAGUCGUACCAGAGAAUAGUGCAAAUUGUCUAUAAAUAUAUAAGACAAAAUGAUGUCAACUAAUGGAUGAAGAAAUCUCCACUCAGGGAAACAAAAUGUAGGAGAAACAAGUUUGUAAUAUAGUGAGUCACUCACAAGGCAACUAUUGUAUACAGAGUGCCUAAGAAAUCUACUAUCGUUUGCAUAAACUGUUGCAAAAAUGUUUCUAUUGCUUAAAAUAUGAGCAUGGGCUAUCUAAAUCAGAAGGGAGCCCAAAAUAGUAUAAGAAAAGCUAAAGAGUGGCGUUUUGAGAGAGAGAGAGGUCCCCUACAAUCAUAGUAUAGGAGCAGAACCACCCCUCCCCUCUAUAAUGAACUCCUAAUUCCCGAUACCACCCCCCACUGAAAUCACAUCAAAGAAUUGAAUCAAAGUGGUCCGAUCAACUAGCUAGAGUGAAGAGAGCGAUCUGGAGAUUCUAACUGCCUGUCUAUGUUGCCAAAAGCUACCUAACACGUGUUUCGGCGCUGCUAACGCGCCUUCAUCUGAGGCAAGGCAGCCGGACGCAGCUCUCCGGUUUCAAUUUAAAGCUGCUCAUAACCAAUCACUGAGUGGAGGCCAAAACAGCGUUCGAAUUGGCCACGCCCCCUUCGAACGUAGUGCCAUGUAAUUGGUGGAAAGCCCCAAAAGUCCGAGACGAAUUAACCCUUAAUGUCACGUAUGAUUGAGUAGGUAUUGUAUCAUUUCUUAUUACAUAGUCUAUAAAAAACACAAUUGUGUAAACUUCUCUUGUUACAUUGUCCAUAAGGAAAAGUGAAUCCAGAGAAUAUAAUAAAGAUCUCUAGAGUGGCAUUAAUAAUGUAUAUAACUAAAUGUAGAUGUGAAAUAAAAGAAAUACAAUAUAUAAAUUAGCUCCACAUAAAGGAAGCAAACCAGGUUAUAUAUAUACAUUCUCCAGAUGGACUAUAUGAUAGAGAGAGAGAAGAAAUAAUAUAGAAAGUAUAGAAGAAAUAUAUACUCAAUUAAGCUAUGGAAAGAGGAGCUUUCACAGGAUCUACUUCUAUAUCAGAGAUUGGGUAUGUAGGAUAAUCAUAGAAUCAUAACAUACUAUUUAAAAGAUAGAUAAGUGAGUUGAAUAACAAAAAAGGUAAAUAUUUAAUUAAAGUACUCCUUAUUUUUCAAUAUAGGGUGUGAAGGUAAAACCCUCGUUUAAACCAUUGGAGGCUAGGGUGUUGAACCUGUAAAUCCAAAAGGAUUCCCUCUUGAGAAGGAUUCUAUCCAAAUCUCCUCCCCUGGCGCCUGUAUUGACUUUUUCAAUACCCGCAAAUUUAAUGGCUUUUGGAUAUCCCCUGUGGCAAGUUCUGAUGUGUCUCGCCACGGGAGUUUCUCUGAGAUUCCGAAUGGAGUAUACAUGCUCCAUAAUUCUCUUUUUGAAGGGGCGUAUCGUCUUGCCUACGUAUCUAAGGCCACAAGUACAACUUAAGAGGUAUAUAACUCCUUUUGUAUUGCAGUUGAAAAAAUGUUUGACCUUACAGAUAGUUUUAUCUGUUGAAUCUGUUAGUUCUUUGGAGCCCUUGUUAAUAUAUCCACAUGCCACACAUUUACCUCAUUGGUAAAUCCCUUGUACAGAAAGCCAGCAUUGUUGUAUUUGUUUAGAUGAAAAGUGACUAGGUACAAGGGUCUCNNNNNNNNNNNNNNNNNNNNNNNNNNNNNNNNNNNNNNNNNNNNNNNNNNNNNNNNNNNNNNNNNNNNNNNNNNNNNNNNNNNNNNNNNNNNNNNNNNNNCCAUGAUAUAGGCACAUUCAGCAUAUAUCAUCAGACUGUGUACCAAGGAAUUUGUUAUAUUAUGGGUGAAUAUUUAUAGAUUUACAUUUGCUUCCUCAAAAAAAAUGAUUCAUUAAAAAUAAUUCAAUUUUUAAAAAAAAAUAAUAGUAAUAAAAAAUAUUCACAAAACACACCAAUUUUGUUCCAGUGAUAGCAAAGCUUGUAUAAAUGUACAGUCACUUUUCAUAUUUUCUAGCUUGGACUAGAGAUCCCAAGCAAGGCCAGACUGGAGAUACAAAGGAGCCCUGAAAAAAAAUGUAUGCUAGCCCUGUAAGUAAUUGUGCCACGCAGUGUGAGCCAAGCCUUUAUGAAUCUUGCAAUGUAAAGAUAUAUAAAUAAGGUUAGUUUCAUUAAGUUUUUGCCCUCUUUUAUUACAAGCCUACCCGAUACGUCACUUUCUGCACACCAUAUAUAUAUGUGUGUAUUUUAUUGGUAUGUUCCUUUUUCUAAUUCAAAAUAUUGGGUGUUCAGGGUAAAAAAAUUAAUUAUACAAUAAGCAUGCUCACAUACAGACACAGAUACAUCUCAUUGAUACAAAGACUCACAGACAGACAAUCUCAUUGAUACACAUAAGCUCACUGAUUUACACAAAUAGGCUCACCGACAGACAGUCUCACUGAUACACACGGACACGCUUAGUACAAACUCUAACACUCAGACAAGCUUAUUAUAGACAAGGUCAUUGGUAUACAAACAGAAGCUCACUACAGACAAGCUCACUGACACACAUACACACGCUCACUACAGACAAGCUCACUGACACACAUGCACACUACAGACAAGUUAAUGAACACACACAAACUCAAUACAGACACACUCACUGUCACACACAAGCUCAUUACAGACAAGCUCACUAUCACACACGCUCACUACAGACAAGCUCACUGACACACACAUGCUCACUCCAGACAAACUCACUAACACACAUGUACAGUCAAGCUCACUGACACACAUGCACUCUAUAAACAAGCUCAUGAACACACACAAACACAAUACAGACACCCUUACUGUAACACACAAACACAAUACAGACAAGCUCACUGUAACACACAUGCUCACUACAGACAAGCUCAGUGACACACAUGCUCACUACAGACAAGCUCACUGACACACACAUGCUCACUACAGAAAUGUUCACUGACACACACAAGCUCACUACAGAAAAGCUCACUGACACACACACAUGCUCACUACAGACAAGGUUACUGACACAGACAUGCUCACUACAGAAAAGCUCACUGACACACACAUGCUCACUACGGACAAACUCACUGACACACAUAUGCUCACUAAAGUCAAGUUCACUGAAACAUGUACACAUGCUCACUACAGACAAGCUCAUUGACACACAUGCACACUACAGACAAGUUCACUGACACAUACAAGCUCACUACAGACAAGCUCACUGUCACACAUAAGCUCACUACAGACAAGCCUACUGACACACAUGCUCAGUACAGACAAGCUCACUGACACACGCAUGCUCACUACAGACAAGCUCACUGACACACACUUGUUCACUACAGGCAAGAUCACUGACACACAAGCUCACUGACACACAGAUGCCUACUACUGAUAUACACAAACAGGCUCACUGACAGACAAACUCACUGACACACACAGACAAGCUUAGUACAAACUAACACUCACACAAGCUAACUACAGGCAAAGUCAAUGGUAUAGAAACAGAAGCUUACUACAGACAAGUUCUCUGACACACAUACACAUGAUCACUACAGACAUGCUCACUGACACACACUCUCACUCCAGACAAACACACUGAGACACAUGUACAGACAAGCUCACUGACACACAUGCACAAUACAGACACAUUCACUGUCAUAAACAAGCUUACUACAGACACGCUCACUGACACACACAUGCUCACUACAGGCAAGUUCUCUGACACACAUACACAUGCUCACUACAGACAAUCUCACUGACACACACAUGCUCACUACACACAAGCUCACAGACACACACUAGCUCACUGACACAGACAUGCUCACUAAGGACAAGCUCACUGACACACACAUGCUCACUACAGCCAAGCUCACUGACACACACACUCAAUAGCAGGCACAUACUCACACUCACAGGCACUGUCAUGGGUUGAAUCCUACCUGUCACGCAAAGCUGUGGAAGCAGUGUGGGGACGGAGCUUGUGUGUGGGGCGGGAUUUGAGUGCAGGAGGUGGGGCUUGAGUCUGGGUGGUGAAGCAUAAAGGCACCGAAUUGCUUGGCACUCAGAAAAGAGACUUAGUGCUCCCUCCAGUCCCCUGGCAGCCUAAAUGCAGCCGCACCAGCCCCAGGCACCUAUCUCCUUCUCUCCUUACACAGACUGUUACAGUCCGAGGGAAAAUUUCCCGGUAUCCUGGUGGGCCAGUCCGGCCCUGAUCCAAACACGGACAGAAGGAAUAAAUCAGCCCUGGAUUAAGGUGCACCUGGUCACAUACACUCCAAGUACACACCUGGUCACAUACACUCCACAUACACAGCUGGGCACAUACACUCCUCGUCAGGGCCGGCCUUAGGCAAUUAGGCGCCCUGUGCAAAAAGUCUUCACGGCGCCCCCCCCCCCACCUCCCACCAAGUUGCCUGAAUACAGUAACACACACAGGCACCGGGGACGUGUGUAUCACGAGGCGCCACUUUGCAGGGGGCGGCAAAAAAAAGCAUCCCUCCAAACCCCCAGGCAGAUCCCUUGCUUGCCUCGCAUCCUGGGGGGCUCAAGAGCUGACCGGCUGGCCACUUUUGAGCCCCCCCAAGGCUGGCAGCGGGCAGCGAAGGAGCAUACUCACCUGAGCUCUUCCUGCUCAGCUUUCUCUGCGCCGCUUAAUGAAGCCGGGAGCCAGAAUAUGACGUCAGUCCGGCUCCCGGCAUCACUAAGCGCUGCUUACUCAGCCUGUGCGCCCCCUGCCUGCCUGCCCAGCAGCCACACUGGACUGCUGGUAAGAAAUCCACUCCAGCUUUCCCAGGGAGGCUGGGUGGAUUUAAAAUAAAUGUAAAAAAUAUUAGUUUGUGAGUGAUAGUGGAAAUGUCUGUGUGUGUGUCUGUGAGUGUUUAUUUUGAAGUGAAUGUGUGUGUGUGUGUGUGUGUGUGUGUCUGUAAGUGUGUAAUUGUGUGUGUCUGUAAGUGAAUUGUGUGUGUCUGUGAGUGAAUGUGUGUGUUGGUCAGUGAGUGUAUAUGUGUCAGUCAGUGAGUGUGUAUGUGUCAGUCAGUGAGUGUGUAUGUGUCGUCAGUGAGUGUGUGUCGGUCAGUGAGUGUGUAGGUCAGUGAGUGUGUGUGUCGGUCAGUGAGUGUGUGUCGGUCAGUGAGUGUGUGUCAGUGAGUGUGUAUGUGUCGGUCAGUGGAGUCGUGCAUCUUUCAGUGAGUGCUUGCGUCUGUCAGUGAGAGUGUGCAUCUGUCAGUGUGUGUCCAAGUAAUAGUGUAUGUGUGUAUGUCAUUGUUUGUCAGCGUAUAUGAGAGUGUGUGUCUGUCAGUGAGUGUGCGUCUGUCAGUGAGUGAGCGUCUGUCAGUCAAAGUGCGGCCUUGACAGGAAGGGGUCGGGGAAAUUUAAACUCGGUUACAGGCAUGUACACACACACUCAGUUAAAGGCAGUCACACAUACAGGCACAGGCACAGGCACAAACAAUGGCACAGCUACAGCGACACACACAGACAGACAGUCACAUAGGCAGUCACACACACAGACAGACACACAGUAACACACACAUAGACAGUUAUACACACACAGGCAGGCAGUCACACAGAUAGAAAGUCACACACACAGGCAGGCAGUCACACACAGACAUAGUUACAGACAGACACACACAGGCAGGCAGUCACAUACAGGCAGUCACACACACAGGCAGUCACACACACAGACAGACAGUCACACACACAGACAGUCACACAGACAGACAGUCUCACACACACAGGCAGUCACACACACGGGCAGUCACACAGACAGACAGUCACACAGACAGACAGUCACACACACAGGCAGUCACAUACACGGGCAGUCACACACACGGGCAGUCACACAGACAGACAGUCACACAGACAGACAGUCACACACACAGGCAGUCACAUACAUGGGCAGUCACACAGACAGACAGUCACACAGACAGACAGUCACACAGACAGACAGUCACACACACGGGCAGUCACACAGACAGACAGUCACACAGACAGACAGUCACACACACGGGCAGUCACACAGACAGACAGUCACACAGACAGACAGUCACACACACGGGCAGUCACACACACGGGCAGUCACAUACAUGGGCAGUCACAUACAUGGGCAGACAGACAGUCACACACACAGACAGUCACACAUAGGCAGGCAGUCACACACAGAGACAGUCACACACACACACACACACACAAGGACAGGCAGUCACACAGACAGUCACACACACACANNNNNNNNNNNNNNNNNNNNNNNNNNNNNNNNNNNNNNNNNNNNNNNNNNNNNNNNNNNNNNNNNNNNNNNNNNNNNNNNNNNNNNNNNNNNNNNNNNNNACACAGACAGACAGUCACACACACAGGCAGUCACACACAUGGGCAGUCACACAGACAGACAGUCACACACACAGACAGUCACACACAGGCAGGCAGUCACACACAGAGACAGUCACACACACACACAGAGACAGACAGUCACACACACACACAAGGACAGGCAGUCACACAGACAGUCACACACACACACACACACACACAGACAGUCACACGCACACAGGCAGGCAGUCACACAGACAGUCACACACACACACAGACAGUCACACGCACACAGACAGACAGUCACACAGACAGUCACACACACACACAGACAGUCACACAAACAGGCAAACAGUCACACACACACACUUACCUCUUUCCAGUGGAUGCAGUUGGCUGAUGGGGAAGCAUCUUUCCCUCUUCCUGUACAGCAGGGGCUUCAGGAGGUAUUAGCCCCGUCUCCGCCUCUCGAUAAGCCCCGCCUCCGCCGCUCGGUAAACCCCGCCCCCUCUGCCGCGAUUUUUUUUUUUUUUUUUAAAUAGAUCCCGGUGGAGAAUAAUUAAUCCUCCAGCCAGGUACCUCUUUUAGCUCCCCUGCACUCCGGCCAUGAGUGAGCUGUGUCGGCCACAGGGCGCCCCCUGUUCCAUGGCGCCCUGUGCGGUCGCACAGCUCGCACACCCCUAAGGCCGGCCCUGCUCCUCGUAUACAGCUAGUCACAUACACUCCUCGUACACACCUGGGCACAUACACUCCUCAUACACAGCUGGGCACAUACACUCCUCAUACACACCUGGGCGCAUACACCCCAAAUACACACCUGGGCACAUACAUUCCUCAUACACACCUGGGCGCAUAAACCCCAAAUACACACCUGGGCACAUACACUCCUAGUACACAGCUGGGCACAUACACUUCUAGUUCACAACUGGGCACAUACACUCCUCGUACACACCUGGUCACAUACACUCCUAGUACACACUUGGUCACAAACACUCCUAGUACACGGCUGGUCACAUACACUCCUCGUACACACCUGGGCACAUACACUCCUCGUACACACCUGGGCACAUACACUCCUCACACACACCUGUGCGCAUACACCUCAAAUACACACCUGGGCACAUACACUCCUCGUACACACCUGGGCACAUACACUCCUCAUACACACCUGUGCGCAUACACCUCAAAUACACACCUGGGCACAAACACUCCUCAUACACACCUGGGCNNNNNNNNNNNNNNNNNNNNNNNNNNNNNNNNNNNNNNNNNNNNNNNNNNNNNNNNNNNNNNNNNNNNNNNNNNNNNNNNNNNNNNNNNNNNNNNNNNNNGCAUACACCCCAAAUACUCACCUGGGCACAUACACUCCUCAUACACACCUGGGCACAUACACUCCUAGUAUACAGCUGGGCACAUACACUCCUCGUACACACCUGAUCACAUACACUCCUCGUACACAGCUGGGCACAUACACUCCUAGUACACGGCUGGUCACAUACACUCCUCGUACACGGCUGGUCACAUACACUCCUAGUACACAGCUGGGCACAUACAAUCCUCGUACACAGGUGACAUCAUAAAAUUCAAUUUCAAUGGACACAAACAGAGAUCAACAAGAAAAUCGCAACAUAUGGAAUUAUCCCUGUGGUGUGGAAAUUAGUAUACAUGUAUAAACUAUAUAUUCAAUUUGCAUGAAUUAAAUUCAAAUGGUAGAGCUGAGGCAAAAAGAGGUAUAUGGAAAUGUCUCCAAUUCGACCAAGGUCACAAUCUUUGGCCUCAACUUUUCCAUUCAGAUUUAAUUUUUUUUUAAAUAACCCUGAGUGUUUCAUCUUCUGCCCCCCAUAGUUUGCCGCUCUGUCCUUCCCGUGCUGUGUUCUUGUCUGUGUGUGCCCUGAGUGUAUCACCUUCUGCCCCCCAUAGUUAUUAUUAUUAUUAUUAUUUUAUUAUUUAUAUAGCGCCAACAAAUUCCGUAGCGCUGUACAAUGGGUGGACUAACAGACACAUAAUUGAGAUCAGACCACUGACGUACAGGAACAGAGGGGGUUGAGGGCCCUGCUCGAUGAGCUUACAUGCUAGAGGGAGUGGGGUAUAGUGACACAAAGGGUUAAAGUAGGGAAAUUAAAUAGUUUGUUACAGAAGGGUUUAUUGAGUGCUUGGUAGGUCAUUUUUGACAGGUGAAGGAAUGGAGUCAUGGGGUGGGGGAUGAGAAACCUGCUGACAGUUUAAUUGAUACUCUUUAAUAAAGAAGUGAGUUUUCAAAGAUUUUUUGAAGGAAUGGAGGCUGGGUGAAAGUCUGAUUGAGGAGGGAAGGGAGUUCCACAGAAUAGGUGCAGCCCUGGAGAAGUCUUGAGGGUGAGCAUCAGAGGUGGGGAUCCGGGCAGAGGAUAGGAGUAGGUCUUGGGCUGAGCGCAGGGGUCUCGUCGGGACAUACUUGUGUAUGAGGGAGGAUAGGUAUGUUGGAGCAGCAUUAUGUAGGGAUUUGUAAGCAAGCGCCAGAAUUUUAAAUUGGGCCUUAUAUCUAACUGGAAGCCAAUGCAGGGACUGACAGAGCGUGGAGGCGUGGGAGGUGCGACCGGACAGGAAAAUAAGCCUCGCAGCCGUAUUCAUAAUAGAUUGCAGCGGUGCAAGCUGGGAACAUGUAAGACCAGUGAGAAGGGGAUUGCAGUAGUCAAGGCGAGAGAGAACAACAGCAUGAACCAGUACCUUAGCCGCGUCCGGCGUUAGAUAUGGGCGGAUGCGCGCUAUGUUCUUGAGUUGGAAGCAACAGGAUUUGGCUAUCGAUUGAACAUGGGGAGUAAAAGAGAUCAGAAUCAAAAAGAACUCCUAGGCAGCGAGCCUGGGAGGUAGAGGUGAUAGUAGCGCCGUUGACUUGGAUGGCGACAGACACAGGAGUAGCAGCACUUGAGGGAGGAAAAACUAGAAGUUCUGUUUUGGACAGGUUGAGUUUAAGGAAGUGAGCAGCCAUCCAGUUGGAAAUAGCAGAGAGGCAGUCAGAAACACGAGUCAAGGUGGGCGGAGAGAGAUCAGGGGAGGACAGGUAGAUUUGCGUGUCAUCUGCAUAUAAAUGAUAUUAUUUUGUUAUUUUAUUAGUUUGGCGCUCUGUCCUUCCCGUGCUGUGUUCCUGUCUGUGUGUGCCCUGAGUGUAUGACCUGCUGCCCCCCAUAGAAUGCCGAUCUGUCCUUCCCGUUCUGUGUUUUUGUCUGUGUGUCCCCUGAGUGUAUCACUUUCUGCCUCUCAUAGUUUGCUGCUCUGUCCUUCCCGUGCUGUGUUCCUGUCUGUGUGUCCCCUGAGUGUAUCACUUUCUGCCUCUCAUAGUUUGCUGCUCUGUCCUUCCCGUGCUGUGUUCUUGUCUGUGUGUGCCCUGAGUGUAUCACCUUCUGCCCCCCAUAGUUUGCCGCUCUGUCCUUCCCGUGCUGUGUUCUUGUCUGUGUGUGCCCUGAGUGUAUCACCUUCUGCCCCCCAUAGUUUGCCGCUCUGUCCUUCCCGUGCUGUGUUCUUGUCUGUGUGUGCCCUGAAUGUAUCACCUUCUGCCCCCCAUAGUUUGCCGCUCUGUCCUUCCCGUGCUGUGUUCCUGUCUGUGUGUGCCCUGAGUCUAUCACCUUCUGCCCCCCAUAGUUUGCCGCUCUGUCCUUCCCGUGCUGUGUUCUUGUCUGUGUGUGCCCUGAAUGUAUCACCUUCUGCCCCCCAUAGUUUGCCGCUCUGUCCUUCCUGUGCUGUGUUCUUGUCUUUGUGUGCCCUGAGUGUAUCACUUUCUGCCUCUUAUAGUUUGCCGCUCUGUCCUUCCUGUGCUGUGUUCUUGUCUGUGUGUGCCCUUAGUAUCCUUCUGCCCCCCAUAGUUGCCCUCUCAUCCUUCCGUGCUGUGUGCUUGUGUAAUGUGCCCUAGAUACUUAUCACCUUCUGCCCCCCAUAGUAUUCACGCUCUCUGUCCUUUGUGCUGUGUUCUUGUCUGUGUGUGUGCCCCUGAGUGUAUCACCAUGCCCCAUGAGUAGCGCUCUGUCUUCCCGUGUGGUCUUGUCUGUGUGUGCCCUUAGUGUAUCACCUUCUGCCCCCCCCCCCAUAGUUUGCCACUCUGUCCUUCCCGUGCUGUGUUCUUGUCUGUGUGUGCCCUGAAUGUAUCACCUUCUGCCCCCCAUAGUAUGCCGCUCUGUCCUUCCUGUGCUGUGUUCUUGUCUGUGUGUGCCCUGAGUGUAUCACCUUCUGCCCCCCAUAGUAUGCCGCUCUGUCCUUCCUGUGCUGUGUUCUUGUCUGUGUGUGCCCUGAGUGUAUCACCUUCUGCCCCCCAUAGUAUGCCACUCUGUCCUUCCCGUGCUGUGGUCUUGUCUGUGUGUGCCCUUAGUGUAUCACCUUCUGCCCCCCCCCAUAGUUUGCCACUCUGUCCUUCCCAUGCUGUGUUCUUGUCUGUGUGACGUCUUGUGCUCCAUCAUAUGCUAACCUGCACCUAGGGUGAUGGGAAGAGAAUGUGGUACACUCAGAAAUGAAUGCUGAAUUUACAAAGUAUAUCUUCUUAUGGAAGAGAUACAUAGAUGAUAUCCUUAUUGUAUGGACCGGUACUGCUAAUUCCUUCACAACAUUUGUUGAAAGACUCAAUUCUAACGACCUAAAUUUAAAAUUCACGAUGGAGAUUGGACAUGAAUCUCUUAAUUUCUUAGACUGUACCCUGAGAAUUACUGAUGAAAACCAUAUUGAAAGUACUCUAUUUAGAAAACCCACCUCAACUAAUACGAUGUUGAGGUGGGAAAGCCACCAUCCCUUAACUCUGAAGAGGGGAAUCCCGGUUGGCCAAUAUCUCCGUCUGAGGAGGAAUUGCUCAACCGUGGAUGAUUUCAUCCUCCAGGCCAAAUCUCUGAGAACGAAAUUUAAAGAAAGGGGAUAUCCCAAUCGAUGUCUAAAAUAUGCCUAUCAGAGGGCACUUACCAGUGAUAGGGAGGGACUUUUUCAAGACAAAUCUGUAUCUUAUAAACCUGAACCCAUCAGGUGCAUAGCAAAUUUUGACGCUGGAUGGGAACAAGCUAAAAAGGUAUUGAAUAGGUUUUGGCCCCUCCUAUCACAGGACCCUCAAUUAGAUGGAGUGGUUACUCCACAUGUAUCCCUCACUGCACAAAGAGGUAAAAACUUAAAGNNNNNNNNNNNNNNNNNNNNNNNNNNNNNNNNNNNNNNNNNNNNNNNNNNNNNNNNNNNNNNNNNNNNNNNNNNNNNNNNNNNNNNNNNNNNNNNNNNNNAACACAAGUGGACCCCCAUUGUGUCAUAUGUGUUGGAACUCUGGGACCGCAUGGAGCAGUUAGCCAAGAUGGUAAAGGAAAACCUCCAGGCGGCCCAGGGCGGACAGAAGGUUUGGUACGAUUGGGGUGCCCAUUUGGGAUGAAAAAUACCCCAGGUGGGCAAAAGGCACUAGUACUAAAACCUGUUAGACAGGAUAAGUUACAGACGGCAUGGCAGGGCCCUUACAGAGUGGUGGAACAAAUAUGCGACACCACCUAUGUGAUCGCCAGCUGUGUUGAUGAAAGGAUCUGAAGAUCAUUUCAUGUCAAUAUGCUCAAGGCGUAUCAGGAAAGGCAGGAAGAUAUAGCUGCUGUAAGUGCCCCAGCCACAGACGACCCUGACAGUCUGUCUCUACUCGACCUACUGAAAAAAGAUUUGCAGACUCACCUCCUACAGCCAUGUCCAGAUUAACAUAGGGGCUGAUGGAGCUGCAGCUCCAGGUCCAGGCCCAUGAAAUAGGCCCAUUUAAAAAAAUGUAAAUAAUAAAAAAAAAAAAAAAUGUUUUAAAUUUUUUUUUUUUUUUUACUCACUACUCUUAGGUUUGCCACCUGACUGGUGGCAAACCUAAGAGUAGUGUGUAAAAACUGGUGGUGCCACCUUUUACUGGCACAGCCAGUAUUGCAGUAAUACCGGCAAUACAAUUGCAGGUAUUUUACGCAGUAUAAACGGAGAUUACUCUGCAAUACCAGCACCAGCCAGUAGGGGUCACUAUGUGUGGAGAGAGGCAGGGAUAGGAAGUUACAGCAUAUCCCUCCCUGCCUCUCUCUACUAAUCACUGAUCCGUGGGGGAGCACUACACAGCAUAGAGAGUCCAGACAGCAGCUCUACAGCUCAGGUAAGUUAGGGAUGGUGGGAAAGGCAGCAGGGAAACGUGGGGACACUGAGACACUAGGGGACACUGGGAGACAUGGGGAUGCUGAGACACAUGGGGACGCUGCGAGACAUAGGGACAUUGGGAGACACUGAGUGUCACCCCAUGUCUCACAGUGUCCCCAUGUCCCCCAGCCAGUGUCCCUAGUAUAUCAGUGUCCCCAUGUCUCCCAGUGUCCCCAUGUCUCCCAGCCAGUGUCCCCAUGUCUCCCAGUAUCCACAAGUCUCCCAGUGUCUGUGUCCCCAUGUCUCUGUGUGCCUAGUGUCCCUAAAUGUCUGUGUCCCCAUGUCUAUGUCCACACGUGUCCCCAUGUCUCCCAGUUUCUCCAAGUGUCUGUCUACCAGCCAGUGUCCCUAGUGUCCCUUAGUGUCCCUAUGUCUCCCAGUGUCUGUGUUCCGAUGUCUCUUAGUGUCCCCAAAUGUUUCAGUGUCCUCAUGUCUCCCAGUGUCUGUGUCCCCAUGUCUGUGUCCUUAGUGUCUCAGUGUCCCCAUUUCUCCGAGUGUCCCCAAAUGUCUGUCCCCAUGUCUCCCCAAAUGUGCCCCUUUUCUCCCAGUGUCCCCAAAUCUCACUGUGUCCCCAUGUCUUACUGUGUCUCCUAGUGACAUGGGGACACUGGGAGACUAGGGGACUGGGCGACAUAGGGACACUGAGUGACUUGCGAGACUGAGACACUGGGAGCAAUCCAUCCAUACAGCAGAAUCAAACUGUGAGUAGUUUGUUGGUGAUUUUCACUCCUUGUGAUUUACAUCAAGUGAUGUCACACAUACCUAAUUAAUUAUACAAAUUAUUUAAGGCUGGUAUUUUUUUCCAAGAAAGGUGGCAACCCUAACUGCUCUUCACAUACUGCUUAAAGGAACACUAUAGGGUCAGGAACACAAUCAUGUUGUCACUGCAGACAUCCCCUUUAAGAGACCUGGCUGGGUUUGAACUCACAGCUCCAGCUUCAGUUUCUGUUUGCAUUUUUCUGCUUCCUGACCACCUUGCCCUGGAUUAAGCAGCAAAGGGCUGCAGCCCUUUUCCAAUUAGGGUCAGCUGCAACUAAUUAGCAGGUUGUAAAAGCCAGCCCUGCCUGAGACCUGGUAUCUGGUAAUUUUGCCUGUUUGGUUUUUCCGUCCCGAUCUUUGAUUUGCUACUGACUGAUUUCCUGGACUCUGACCUCUGCCUGAUUUACCAACUUUGUUACUCCACUGCCAGCCCUGACUUCUGGAAUCCCAUCACAUUCCCCCCUUUGAUGCCUCUGAUAUAACAUUAUCCCAGAUGCAUCACUAAUCAUAAUCUACCAACACCACUCAAGUAACUCUCUCAACAUUCCUCAUCCUGAUUAUUCUCUCUCUGGGGCUAGAGGUUCAUACUUCCAGACAGCCAUUACAUGGUCUUUCUUUCUAUAGUGCUCUCUAUAACACUACGUAUGGACCUGACCACUAGUGGAAUUAAGCAGGGCAGAAAGAGACAUAGAAAUAUAAUAAAUACUACUCCUCCUACUAGUGCCUUAAUCCUUCCAAGCUGCUCAUACCAACUACUUGGGUUAUACCCACUCCAGACCUGAGUAGGUACAUGUGCAAGUUCAACCAUGUGGCUUGUAAGUUCAGCCACUGCCUGCCCUUCAUCGUCUAUGUGCAGACAACAGUUACUUAGAUUAAACUUCCUGCAUAAACCUCCUUCUACUGCUACUAAAGUAAUCAAGGGCUAGCCUAUUCUGGUAUAUGGCUGAUCGCAUCCGGGUAUUCUGCUUUGCUAAGAGGUUGAGUGCUUGCGCUGUCUCAUUGGUGAUAAUCUCAACCACCGCCUGUAGUCUUAUAAUACGGUUGAGCAUAUAUACUGGGGUUCUAUAUCCAUAAGUACCAUCUUCUGCCCAAGUAGCAGGUCCAUAAUAAUUAAUAAUACGUUGGGGAGGCCACUCAUCAUCUUCCCAGCUACCUAUAUUCAAAGAUGCUCGCUUCUUUUUAUGAUUUACAUCAUAAACCUUAACUCCCAAGGGCUCUCCUGUUUCGAUUGGCAACAAGAAGAAGGAUGGUUUGAGCAUACCUAAUACACAUGCCUCUUCCCAGUCCUGUGGUAACUCUGAAUAUGCAAGAACAGAGUGGUAAACCACGCCACAGAGGAAUUGGAGAUAGUUAAAAAGAAAAAAUGAUGUAUACAUACAUACAGGGUAUUCCAACAAUAUAAUGGUAGGUAUAAACAGCACUACCAAUACCCAAGGUGAUUAGCAUAAUGAAAAACACCACAGCCCAAAAUGUUGAUCCUCCAAGGGUAGAAAUUGCUUCAGGGUAAAUAAUAAACACCAGUCCAGCUCAGGACUCAAUAGAAUUGUUCAAUCGUGCUUGUUUAUUGAAGCAUCAAAUAUUACAAAAAAAAAGUGUCGCCGUUUCAGUCUUAUCUGGACCUUUUUCAAGAUCUCUGAAUAUGCCUUCUUACCACAAAUCCAGUAUACAUUUGCUGGGUGUGGCAGAACCAACCUCGCCACUGUCCACUGGAGAGGCCUGGUUGCUCACCUGCUCCCUUUAGACUAUGGUCCUGCAUUUUAAACUGUUAUUUUACCAGCAGAAAGGUUUAUUCGUGCCUUUCUGUGGACUGUUAAAGCCAUGCUGUCACGGUUCUCGCCGCAGCAAACAGACAGCCAGACGUGGUCACCCAUGGAGUUCCCAACAAGGGACUUGAACCGGGGAACUUCGCAGUCCUGGUCCUGCUUCCUUCCUCUGAGCCACAGCAGCUUUUGUAUUCCACAUGUCAUUCUGGUCCUGUUCAUCCUGGCAUGUCUAUUACUCUGGGGGCUGUACCUUGACUUUGGAUGUGCUUCACCUGACCCUGAUCAGACAUUAGCAGGGUAUUUAAACUCAGCCUCGCCCUGUGAUCAGCAUCAAGUCUUUGAUCCUGUUGUGUGCUUUGUACCAGUGUUCCUGUCGUUUGAGCUGCUACUUGUUAUUGACCCUGGCUUCUGACUACGUUUACUCUGACCUCUGGCAUCCCUUGACUUCGGCUACUCCUUGUUGUUCCUGUCUUCUGGCAUCCUUUGACCUCGGCUAUCCUUUGACGAUCCUGCUGUUUGAGUCCUUGCCUGUCCUGCGACUUGGUACUUCAUCCUGCACAGCCCCCGUGCACAGACCCACAGGCCGGGUGAAUUCUUACCUGACCUCCUUGGCCUGUGGCUAUCUGCAAGGGUGAGCAACAUAUCUGCGCUACAGACUCCCAACCCAGGUAAGACCCUGACACAUGCUACCCCAGAUUGCUAUGCCACGGAGCCCAGCCGUAUACUGAAAGACUUUGGCUCCAUGGCGAUUGAACUGUAUGUAUGUGAUCUGAGCGCCAUUCGGUAGUAAUGUGCGCUCAGAUCUAAGCUAUCUGGGGAUAUGUAGAAUGUAUAUGUUUUAGGUAAUAAAUGUGGCUGUAUGUAAUUUUAUGUCUUUUACUGUAUUGUUACUGCCAUGUGGUUAAUGGAGUUUCGCCUCUGUCCUGGGAGAUAAGUGGAUUACUUCCAAAUUAACUUCCCAAUUAUCUCCAGGACAGAGAGGAGGGAUUGUGAUGUAAUUGUGUGAGUGUUUAAAGGUGAAUGUCUGUGAUUGGCUAAGAGCCAAUAUGUUUCCCAUUUGGUCCCCUAGGGGAGUGUCCACCAGGUGGGAGACCUGCAUAAAAGCCGGGCAGUUAGCCCCAGUAAACCAGUUCUGCUUGACCUCAAAACUAAGUGUCGUCUCGUUAUUGGGGGAAUUGGAUUGUAUGCUGAUUGCCAGGAGUGUAAGCUGAUUGCAUGUUUUUCCUGUUCAGCUGCUUACAGCAUUCAUAUGCUUGAGAGCAUUUGUAUGCUUCUCUGGUUCGGUGGUGUCUGCUGCAGUGCUUGGAGUCCUCCGGAAGCGCUAGGAGCAUCCUUCGAUGGAGGUACCCAGUCAGGGGGCCAGGUGAUCCGUUACACUGGGGCUUUCCAAUUGGAUGUAGCAGAUAAGUCAAACCAUACCUCCUUUAAAUUAGUGUAAUUGGCAAACGGAUUAGUAGGCUCCGAGACAUUUGAAGCUGACCACCAAGUAGUAUCUUUUGUAUUAUCAUUAUAAGCCUUUUGUCCCAAACAUGUUAACUCACCUACAGACAUGUUAUACAUUGUCCCUUUCCUAGCUACACAGACAUGACCUAUAAUGGAGGUUUUUAACCGCCAUUCCGAUUUACCUCUAGUACUUACUUGAUGAUCAGACUGAGAAAGUAUCUUUUGUUCAUCCAAGAGGUUUAAAUGUGGAUCUGGAUUUAUUAAUGUUUAUGUUUUAAAAUUUUAUAAAUAUUUUAGAUUAAUUUUUUAAUAUUAUUUUUUUUGAUAUUAUAAUUUCUUGUUUCCAUAGGAGUUUUAAUAAGUUUUUUUUUUUUUUUUUUUUUUUUUUAUGAUACUAUUUUUUUCAAAUGAUGUCUUCGCCAUGUACCUUAGCCGAAUAUAAAUGAUCAUCAUUAUAUAUGAUAAUUUUAUCAAUUUUGUGAUGGUCAGUUCUAUUAUUUGUUAUAUACAGAUAAGGAAAAUUGUGUAUGUGCAAUACUGUAUAAAAUAUAACAUUAUGUCUUUUUCUCUCUAUAGUAUGUUCCUGUAAUUUUAAAUUAGUCUUGUGAUGGUCAUAUCAUUUUUGUGAUGGUCAUCUCUAUAAUUUGUUAUAUACAGAUAAGGGAAAUUUUGGAUGUGCAAUACUGUAUAAAAUGUAAUAUUAUGUCUUUUUCUCUCUAUAGCAUCUUCCUGUAGAUUUUUAAUUAGUCUUAAAUGUUAAAAAUUAAAGAUGUGAUUUAUUUCUAUUGUUUUUAUAUCUAUUAUAAAUUGUGUGUGUGUGUGUGUGUGUGUGUGUGUGUGUGUGUAUAUAUAUAUAUAUAUAUAUAUAUAUAUAUAUAUAUAUAUAUAUAUAUAUAUAUAUAUAUAUAUAUAUAUAUAUAUAUAUAUAUAUAUCUAUCUCAUGCUCUUUCACUAUUUAAUUGUACAUAUAUUAGAUGAAUUGUAUAUUACUCGUAGGAACGAGUUUCAAAUGCCCACAUUCCAUUCCGUACGAUCAGGUGGUCAGGUACGGAAAUGUGUUCGCCGGCAUAAAGCAUCAAUAAAGUUGUUUGCGUUUCAGGCUGGAUGUGCGCGCAUGCGCGGUAAAGUUUUACCGCAAUGCGCAUGCGCGCAACAAUGAAAGCCGCGCGGUUUCAACUAUUUAAAGCCGGAAGAAAAAGAAAUACACAGCUCUUGAGAAAGUCGAUUGGACGAAACGCGUCGAGCGAUUGGAAGCCUGCCAGUGUCCCUACAGUCCUUGGAUUACAUCCAGCUCUGAGUGAACUACUAUUAGAAGAUUUUAGAACUUUGGAAACUGGGACCCUAUUGCAAGAGAGGACUUUAGCCCAAGAAAGGGGCUGACAAGCUUUUCAGCACAACAUAGACAUAUGUCCCUGUUGUGCAACUACAUUUGUGAGUGUAUUUGCCUUUUAUUAUUUUGUUUGAUUUGUUAUUAAAUACUUCACCAUAUAUAUUAUCUGUUUUUAUCUCUCCGCAUGAAUAUUCAUGAUUACUAUGUGGUAAAUAUAUUCACAUGUUUGUGAUUGUGGCGCCCCCGGUGGUAUGUUUUUUUUAACUAUACUUAUCUGUUUCUUUUGUUCAUCUGUCUCAGAACCAGGGUACCAUGCUUCCUUUGCUUCCCAUGGCCACUGGUCUCCCAUUACCUCCACAUACAAAACAGUUAGUUACAUUAAGACUACCCGCAAUNNNNNNNNNNNNNNNNNNNNNNNNNNNNNNNNNNNNNNNNNNNNNNNNNNNNNNNNNNNNNNNNNNNNNNNNNNNNNNNNNNNNNNNNNNNNNNNNNNNNCAGGUGAUCCGUUACAAUUAUAGUCCAAGAACUGUACUUCCGUCUGGUCAAAUAGGCAUUUGUCAAGUUUCAACAGUAGGUCAGUGCUAAUUUACAGACAAUAUGUAGGUGGGCAGUAACCUUGAAGAAGGGAAUCCCUCCAACCCAACCCCUCAAGGAAACAGAAAAUAGUGCAAAUAGAUGGAUGUUUCCUGCUCUAGACUUGUAAGUAUAAUUUUAACAUGUUGAGAGCAUUAUUCCUUUUAUCAUAUUUUGGAGCCCUGGAUACCCAAACUGUACUGACGGACGCACCUCUCCUGCAUAUCCCAUAAGCAGGGAUUAUACCACUGUACAUCCUCCACUCCAGAUUUGGUUAUAGCUCUUGCAAAUGUGAGUGUACUACCUACUUUUUCAUACAUUUUAUCUCUGGAUCAUAACCUUAUUUGAAAGCAGCCUCUAUUAAGUAGACUCUUUCAAGUAGGAGUUAGAAAACCAGGAGUUACUUGGAGUGGUUUGUAUACUGUGGAGAGUGGUUUGUUUUUUAUUUUUGUUUUUUUAAAUUUACUUAUUUUUUUAUUUUUUUUAAUUUAUUUUUCUGUGUUCUGGUUUCCCCCCCCUUUUUUGUGUGCUGCUGCUUGAUUGAUUGGGGGAGUGUUCAUUAAUUACACCUGUGUGGGAUUUGUAUCCCCAUAAAGGCACACCCCUAACUCACUGAGCUUGCUCACAUUAUUUGAAAGCAGCCUCUAGUAAGUAGAUUCUUUCAAGUAGGAGUUAGAAACCCAGGAGUUACUUGGAGUGGUUUGUAUUUUAUUUUUGUUUAAUCUUUAAAGUUUGUAAGGUUUAAAAAAAAAAAAAAAUUUGUUUUUUAAAUUUACUUUUUUUUGUGUGUUCUGGUUUUCCCCCCUUUUUUGUGCUGCUGCUUGAUUGAUUGAUUGGGGGAGUGUUCAUUGUUUGCACCUGUGUGGGAUUUGUAUCCCCAUAAAGGCACACCCCUAACUCACUGAGCUUGCUCACAUUAUUUGAAAGCAGCCUCUAUUAAGUAGACUCUUUCAAGUAGGAGUUAGAAAACCAGGAGUUGAAACUAACAAGGGGUUUAAACUAUCAAGGUAAUUGUUUUUUUUCCUGUUUAAAGGGGAUAUGAGUGUUAGCAAGAUUGCUGGUUUAACUCAAUGCACAUCUUGUUGCAUGUAUGGCUGCCUGGAUGUACCCGUCCAGGGUCCAUACCUCUGUGAUGGUUGUGUGCGAGUGGCUUCUCUGGAAGCUCAGAUUGGAGAUCUUGAGAAGCAAAUCGCAACUUUGAGGGAGAUUGACAAUCUUGAGAGGAGUCUACUGCUCACUGAGCAGAGUUUAGUGGGGACAGGUAGUGGAGAGGGAGGAGAUAAGACAGAUGGGGAACAGGCAUGUAGCUGGGUGACAGUGGGGCGAGGAAGCAGGGGGGGAGGGAAGAGGAAAGGGCUAGCUAGUCCUGAUUUGGUGCAACCUAGCAGAUUUGCCCGUUUGAGGGAAGAUGUUGGGAGCAUCAGCUCAGGAGUAGCUGUAUUAGAGGAAGCUGUUACUUCUAACAGCCGAGCUAACAGCCCCCCUAGUACGGGUGGGGAUCAAAAUGUAAGGAAGGCAAGACAGGUUGUGGUGGUAGGGGACUCUAUCAUUAGGAGAGCAGAUAGGGCAAUCUGCCGCUCUGAUCGGCUCAACCGGACAGUUUGCUGUCUCCCGGGUGCUCGGGUCCGGCAUGUUGCUGACAGAGUGGAUGGAUUAUUGGGAGGGGCUGGGGAUGACCCAGCGGUCAUGGUCCAUGUUGGUACCAAUGACAAAGUAAGAGGAAGAUGGAAGGUCCUAAAGAAUGAUUUCAGGGAAUUAGGUAGCAAACUUAAGAAAAGGACCUCCAAGGUGGUAUUCUCUGAGAUAUUACCUGUGCCACGUGCUACAGUGGAAAGGCAGCGGGAGAUUAGAGAAGUCAAUGCGUGGCUUAAGUCUUGGUGCAGGAAGGAGGGUUUUUGGUUUUUAGAGCACUGGGCCGACUUUGCGAUUAGGUACAACCUUUAUAGUGGUGAUGGAUUGCACCUAAACGGGAGAGGGUCUGCAGUGCUGGGGGAUAGGAUGGCUAGAAGGUUGGAGGAGAUUUUAAACUAGUAGUAGGGGGGGAGGGUCAUAGCAAUCUACAAAAUGGAGAUAGGACAGAAAGGAGAUGGGCUUUAGCACAGUAUAAGGGGGGUGGAAACGGGGGGAGGGGCAAGCUCAGAACAGAGAAGCUGUGUAAUGUUGAAAAUUCACAAAAUAUACAAGUGACGCAUAAUAUUAAAUGUAUGCUUACUAAUGCAAGGAGCCUAAAUAACAAAAUGGGGGAACUAGAGGCAUUAGCAUACACUAAACAAUAUGAUAUAAUAGGCAUAACUGAAACAUGGUGGGAUGAGACACAUGACUGGGCAGCUAACUUAAAUGGGUACAUGUUAUUUAGGAAGGAUAGGAAAAACAAGAAGGGUGGUGGGGUAUGUUUGUAUGUCAAACAUGAUUUAAAGCCAAAUGUUAAGCAAAUGGAAUGCGAGGAGGAUAAUGUGGAAGCUUUAUGGGUAAAUAUCUGCUUGGGGAAAAGAAGGGAAACCAACUAUUGGUUGGGAUAUGUUAUAAACCACCUAAUGUUAAUAUUGACGAGGAACAACAGCUGUUUGAGCAAAUUGAGAAAGCUGCAAAUCUGGGUAACACUUUAAUUAUUGGAGAUUUUAAUUACCCGGAUAUAAAUUGGGACAGAGGGACUAGUGCCUCAGCAAAGGGAAUUAGGUUUUUAAACUUGUUAAAUGACACCUUCAUGUCACAACUUGUGCAAGCACCAACUAGAAUGGAUGCUUGUCUGGACCUGGUUUUAACAAACAACGUUGAUCUUUUGACCAACAUUCAAGUAGGUGAGCACUUGGGAAAUAGUGAUCACAAUAUAGUGUCCUUUGAAAUAAACUCAAAAAAACAAAAGCACAUGGGGAAUACUAAAACAUAUAAUUUUAAAAAGGCCAAUUUCAAUAAGUUAAGGGAAGCUUUACAAUAUAUUGACUGGCAUAAACUCUUUAGUGAAAAGAACACUGAGGAUAAAUGGAUCAUCUUCCAACAAAUAUUACAAAGGUACAUUUCUCAGUAUGUACCAUUGGGAAAUAAAUAUAAAAGAAACAAAUUAAAACCAACAUGGCUUAGUAGAGAAGUAAAACAAGAGAUUACAACUAAGAGAAGGGCAUUUAAAGCAUUUAAAUCGGACAAAUCAGAUGCAUCUUAUAAAAGAUAUAAGGAUGCAAAUAAUGCGUGCAAAAAGGCAAUUAGACUUGCUAAACUUCAAAAUGAAAUAAUGAUAGCUGAAGAGAGCAAAACCAACCCCAAAGCAUUUUUUAAGUACAUAAAUUCUAAAAAAAAACAAAAUGAAAGUGUAGGUACACUAAAAACUGAAACGGGGGUGUUAAUUAAUGAAGACCAGGAAAAGGCAGGAAUUUUAAAUAACUUUUUCUCCUCCGUAUAUAUUAAGGAAGAACCCAUGGCAAUAGAUGUGCAAAUGAUUGCUACUAAAAACUUGCAGAAUAAUUGUAAUUGGUUAACUCAAGACAAGGUGCUGCAGCAACUAAAGAAAGUUAAUAUAAACAAAGCUCCAGGGCCUGACGGUAUCCAUCCACGUGUACUUAAGGAACUAAGUGCAGAAAUAAGUGAACCUCUGUUUUUAAUCUUUCAAGAUUCUUUUCUUUCAGGAAGUGUUCCGGAGGAUUGGAGGAAGGCAGAUGUGGUUCCUAUAUUCAAAAAGGGUUCAAAAUCCUUGCCUGGAAAUUAUAGACCUGUGAGCUUAACUUCUGUGGCUGGUAAAAUAUUUGAAAGUUUAUUAAGGGAUAAUAUUCAAGAAUUCCUUGAGAAGAACAUGGUUAUCAGCAAAAAUCAGCAUGGUUUUAUGAAGCACAGGUCAUGUCAAACUAACUUGAUUGCGUUCUACGAAGAAGUAAGUAGAAGUAUAGAUCAGGGUGUUGCCGUGGAUGUGAUCUUUUUGGAUUUUGCCAAGGCAUUUGAUACAGUUCCACACAAUAGAUUAGUGUUCAAACUCAAGGAAAUCGGUCUAGAUGAAAAUGCUUGUUCUUGGGUAGAACAUUGGCUUAAAAACAGAGUACAAAGAGUUGUCAUUAAUGGUAAAUUUUCAAGCUGGACAGAGGUGGCAAGUGGUGUCCCUCAGGGGUCUGUUCUGGGACCCCUUCUAUUUAACAUGUUUAUAAAUGAUCUUGAAGACCGCAUUGAAAGUCAUGUUUCAGUGUUUGCAGAUGACACAAAACUUUGUAAAACAAUACAAUGUGAGCAAGAUAUUACUUUGCUGCAGAGGGAUUUAGAUAGACUGGGCACUCAAAUGGCAGAUGAAAUUUAAUGUUGAAAAAUGCAAAGUUAUGCACUUCGGCGUAAAGAAUACACAAGCAACGUAUACCCUUAAUGGAAGCGAAUUAGGGAUAACAACACAUGAAAAGGACUUGGGAAUUGUUAUAGACAACAAACUAUGCAACAAUGUGCAAUGUCAAUCAGCAGUGGCCAAGGCCAGUAAGGUAUUGUCAUGCAUGAAAAAGGGCAUUCAUUCUCGGGACGAGAAUAUAAUUUUGCCUCUUUAUAAAUCACUGGUAAGACCACAUAUUGAAUAUGCUGUGCAAUUUUGGGCACCUGUUCUAAAGAAGGAUAUUAUGGCACUAGAAAAAGUGCAGAGGCGGGCUACAAAAUUAAUAAAAGGAAUGGAACAUAUCGGCUAUGAAGAAAGGUUAACAAAUUUAAACCUAUUUAGUUUAGAAAAACGUCGCCUGAGAGGGGAUAUGAUAACAUUAUACAAAUAUAUUCGGGGCCAAUACAAACCAUUGUGUGGAAAUCUAUUCACAAACCGGACUUUACAUAGGACACGAGGCCAUGCGUUUAGACUGGAAGAAAGAAGAUUUCGUCUAAGGCAAAGGAAAGGUUUUUUACUGUAAGAACAAUCAGGAUGUGGAAUUCUCUGCCUGAAGAAGUGGUUUUAUCAGAGUCCAUACAGAUGUUCAAACAGCUACUAGAUGCAUACUUGCAAAAACAGAAUAUUCAAGGAUAUAAUCUUUCAAUGUAGGGUAAUAACUGCUUGAUCCAAGGAUAAAUCUGACUGCCAUUCUGGGGUCAAGAAGGAAUUUUUUUCCUAGCUUGUUGCAAAAUUGUGCUUCAAAUUGGGGUUUUUUGCCUUCUUUUGGAUCAACAGCAAAAAACAAAUGUGAGGAAGGCUGAACUUGAUGGACGCAAGUCUCUUUUCAGAUAGGUAACUAUGUAACCCCCAUACGUUUUAAAAGGUCAUCUCAGCACCAUCUGCUAUAUAUGUGUUGGGUGGUCCAACCCCAGAGUUAUAAAGGGAACUGUCCUUUACCGGGCUCCUCUCUAAUGCUUAUGGGUUCUUUAUUUUGCAUUACCUUGGUGGCCAAGCUCUGUACAUAGAGUAGGGAUGUGCUUGGGCAAAAAAUUUGGUUCAGUUCGGAAAUUCAGGUAAGUAAAAAAUGUAUCUGCUUUGGCAAUUCAGCCAAUAGUAAUCGGUUCCGUUUGGCGCUUUGGAACCUCGACACUUUGGACAUUCGUAAGCAUCUAAAUGGCCUGAAAUUUGUACAAAUGUACAUUCAGAGCGAAACGAAUUGCAUAUGUCUAAAAAUCAUUAAUUGGCUGUCCUUUAACAUCAAUCACAAAAAUUUGCUUAUUUCAUUGGACAGGAAAUAGUGAAACCAGAUUGGGCAAGCAAGUAUUACAUUGCACAAAAAGAAUUCGCUUAUUGGUCAAUGUGGCGAAAGUGACCUCGCCACUGGCUUUUGGAGUAGCCUGUUUGUCAGCCUCAUACCCUGUGAUUAUGGCCCCUGCAAUAGACCUGGCUAAAAUACUUCAAACAUGCUCUGGGACUCAUUUACCGAACAACCGCAUGAACAGAGACCACCCAGGAGCUUGUUAACACCUAUUAACAACUUGGAACGUUUCUCACCGCAGUGUUCUAAUUGUUCAUCUGGGUGGCCGCUAUUCCUAUGGACAAUCACGAUGUGGUGGCCAUCUUGCGCAUGGCCAGCGGUGUUUGGGCAUGAAUCUCAUUGAACUGAAUUCGGAUACAGAAACUCCCGAACACCGCUGAACUUCCAUCAUCACCUGCGUUCUGUUCUUUACCAGUUAGAAUAGCACUGUUCGCUGGGAUAAUUCAUCUGGAUGAAGGGAACAAGCUCCAGGGUAAGACUAUUGACCCGUUUGGUAGUUUGUUCAUUUUCAAACUACCGAACUAGACCAGCCGCUAGCCCUGAUUCUCUGGAACUGUUUUGGGCAUGGGACCAUGCCUGCGGUCGGUCAAAUAAAUGACUUCCAUAGAAUUUCUGAACCUCUGAACUGAUCUGGGGGAUUUUUUGGAUAUGUUGGUCACCCAGAACAGGGCUAUCAGAGGAUGUAACUAUUAUGGGGAUAUCAUGUGUUUUUUUUUUUUUUUUUUAAAUAUGUGUUUUUUCUGCCUGGAGAUAUCUGACUUAAUUAUCUCCCAGGCAGAGGGGAGGGAUUGUGUGUUGGUUAUGGGAGUGUCAUGCAUUUAAUUACUGUUCUGAUUGGUUUGUAAGCUUUGUGUCCCUGUCCCCAACAAAGCCAUGUGGACGUAACCCUUGCUUGGGACUUGCAUAAAAGGCCAGUGUGGCUAUCAUUAAAACUAAGAUUUACUUCACCCUCAAUUUAGAGUUCUGUCUCUUAUUGUAGGGAACUGCUAUACAGCUAUCCUGGAGGAGAGGCCUUCCCACUGAGUCCCUGGAUCCAGGAGUUUUGUCCAGUGUUGAAAGGGAUGGCGAGACCCCAACCAAGCUGCGGCGAUUCGUGGGUCUAUGGUGCUUAUGGUGUCCAGUGCGGUGCUUAUAGUGCUCAGCACCAGCUAGGAAGCGGUCCUUGGCAUAGGUACCCAGGUGUGUACCUACCACAGUGUUCUAAUUGUUCAUCUGGGUGGCCGCUAUUCCUAUGGACAAUCACGAUGUGGCGGCCAUCUUGCGCGCGGCCAGCAGUGUUUGGGCAUGAAUCUCAUUGAACUGAGACAGUCAAUGGCAGCUCGGAGACAGUCAAGAUUUGUGUAAUCAUUCACAUAAUUUUCCCUUCCUCUCUCUUGUUUUGCCACUUUUCAGAAAUCUGAAUCCCUUCGGAGCUUUGGUCAGUUCCAAACUACAGAACUUCGUAACUUCGGCGCUUUCGAACCUCGGCUCUUUGGACAUUUGUAAGCUUUCGAAUGUCCGAAUGGCAUUAAAUUUGUACGAAUGUACGUACGGAACGAAAUUAAUUGCACAUGUCUAACAUACAGCAUAAUCUCCACUUUUGUGCCAUGGAUUAGUUGCACCCCUGUCCAUUUAAGUAAUGUGAGUUCUGUUUAAAAAUCAUGUCUGUUGUCAGCACGCAAUCUGCAUGGGACAGAAAGAAAAUAUUCUAUCAUUGAAACUAAUUAACAAUUUAUACCAGCACUAGCAAAUGAAAUAUCUCUCCGCUAUACCAUAUCCUAAUCAUACCCUCAUUAUCUGCAUCCGCUCGUGUAUUGGAAAAUGAUGCCAUUUAUAGCAUUUCCCUAUAAUUAACACAAUUCAAUGCAUUACAUUAGCUAUAUAACUUGUUAAAUUAUAAAUUAAUAGUACAUUUUCUUUUGCUGCCUUCAAUCUCAAGUGGAAGAAAUUCCUUCCUUUCUCUCUCCUGUCUCAAUUCGUUCUAUAGGUGCCUAUCGCCUUGUGCUAUCUUGGGGUAAGUAGGAGAAAUAGCUCAGUUGGUAAGUGCCCUGACUGCAACACCUUGUCUAUACUUUGAGGUCACAGUUUUAAUACCUGGAAGGAUCCACUUAAAGUAUAAUGCAUACAUUUACAAGAUGUAUUCAUAACUCCAGAACUUGUGAUAUAAUAACCAAUGCCCANNNNNNNNNNNNNNNNNNNNNNNNNNNNNNNNNNNNNNNNNNNNNNNNNNNNNNNNNNNNNNNNNNNNNNNNNNNNNNNNNNNNNNNNNNNNNNNNNNNNGACUCCCAAUUAUGACACUGACACCAUAUUAGUGGUUGAAAGCAAUUGGCCGCAAGCUUAUUCGAGUUACACACUGACCCAAUGUAAGUAUGUCACCUUCUAACUUCUGUUCUGCCUAGUGGUCAACUGGUACCUUGUCUUCAACCUCAACUCUUCAUCUCGCCUCUCUAAUGAACUACUACAGGUCACAUUUCCCACAGAUUACCAUCCAGCAACAUAAAGCGUUUAACUUGUUUGCAAGGAUCUCCUGCAAUCUGUGAACAGCAAGAGGAACCACAAGCAAAAGACACUAUCCUGACAUUUUCUUAAACAGGGGGAGUGCAGGAUGGUUGUUUGUAAGUAAGAGACCAUUCCUGCCAUGUUGUCCCUUUAAUACCUUGUAGGAACUUUUAUAAUUAUCCAUAUGCAGGGCAAUCGCCUGAAUGUUAACAAAAUGUGAACUUGUACUAACUCAGGCCAGCAGUCACGAAGAACGUCCCACUAGUUCCAGAGAUGAAACCAAAUUUAAGGCCAGCAGAACCAGACAAACUGGGAUUUCACUGUAGUGAAUAACUAUCCGAAUGGGAGAAACAAAAUGGAGUGGGUGGUCUUGAGGGGAUGUAGUCAGUGAAGUGACCCAAGUCACUAGCGCCACCAAAAAUGAUUAGACAUGCCCAGAAAAGGAUCAGGCCUGUGAAGCCCCCAGCCAUCAAGUCCAUGCAGGCUGAAACACUUUGCAUGGUCCUAGUGCCCACUGCACAGCUGGAAUGCGUCUAAUGAUGCUAUUGUAGUGUGCUGCCUGGGGACAGUUCCCUGGUGACCUCAGAUGCAGGAACUAGAUUUGGACAACGCAAGAUGACACUGAAAUCAGGACUGUCCUGGAUUGGAAAUGAUGGCUGAAGGAGAGGUUGGAGUCAAAGAGAACACCAAGGCAGCAAGUCUGCGAGGUAGAGCUGAUGGUAGUGCCAUUGACUUUGAGGGAAACACAGAAAUAGCAACACUUAGGGAUGGAAAGACAAGAGGUUCUGUUGUGAAAAGGUUAAAAAUCUGUUAAGAGUAAUGUUCAUAAAAUGAGCAGGAAGGAAUCUUGGGGAUCACCCACAGAGAGGGAUUGGGGGGAAAAGGAAGAGCCAGAAAAAGAAAGAUUGAAAGAGUGCUGGGAGAGGUAGGAGGAGCACCAUGAGACAGCAGAGUCUCAUAGAUUCUUGUAGACUGAGCUUAAGGAGAAUGAGAAGUUGUUGAUGCUCAGUAGUGCAGAAAGCAGCAGAAAGGUCAAUUAGAAGAGAUUAGCAGCAAUUAAAUGAUUGGAUAAUUUGGCCAGGGCCAUUUCGACAGAGUGAGGAGUGCGGAGAAUCCCGACUGAAGCUUGUUGAGGAGAGAGUUGGAUUUAAGGAAGUCCGUCAGUCUAGCGUACACAACUCUCUUGAGGAUAUUGGUGGCUAGUAUGGGGAGGAGAGGAAGUGGGGUAGCCAGGAAGAAAAGUUUUCAAUAAAUAGGCAAGGAUGACUGGAGGGACGGGGAUAAUGGCAAUUCUUGAAAGAGUGGGUGAUUUUAAGUGGUCAUGGUGCGUGGAGUCUGUAUGUGUCACAUAAUUCUUUGAAAUACUGCACAUUUGGAGUUUAACUCUUUUGCAUCUGAGGUGUAACUCUACAUCUGACAGCAUCAUUGUCCAGUCCGGCGCAGUUCCAAGCCGGCUAAUGUCAAUUUUGUGCAUGUUAUUUUUGCACAUUGUGUCUUUCACUAACUGAAAGUGGCCUGUUGAAUGGUGAUUGCUUUGGGUUCUGGCUUUGCAGAGCUGCAUCAGCAGAGAAGCCUCAGAGCCCAACAAGGAGCCCAGGUAAGAGACUGUUGGGGGGGCCAGUGUACUACUGGCAUCAUAACUGUUACAGUGACCCUUUAACAAACUCCUGUGCUGCUGAAUUAUAAGUCAUAGUGUGAAUUAAUGAAGAUAAAUAAUAUGGGGCUAGAGUUGUUCAGUGCUGUAUAGGUAAGGGUUAGCAUUUUGAAUUGACUCCUAUAGGAUACAGGAAGUCAAUGUAAGGACUGACUGUGGGGGCAAAGUAUGGGAGGAGCAACAGGAGAGAAAAGUCAGCAUUCAUUACAGAUUGUUGUGGGGCAGUACGGGUUAUGAGGAGACCAAUUAGGAGAGAGUUACAGUAAUCCAUGCAAUUAUCAGAGUCUGAAUAAGCUUUUUGACAGCAGACAGGAGCAGACACAGGCAAUGUUUUUAAGGUGGAAUUUCCAGAAUUUGGCAACAGACUGGGUGUGAGAUAUAAAUUUGAGCCUAGACUAAAAAAUAACAUUAUUGCAGAUAGCUUGCAAGAAUGAACUGAUACGUGUCCCAUCAUUUGUAGGGUGAGCUAGAGCAGACGAUUAUUAUUAUAAGGAGGGACGAUAAGAAGCUCAGUUUCAGAAAGUAGGAGGACAUCCAACCAGAGACGGAAGGAAGGUAACCAGUGAUGUGUUCUAGGAUAGUAGGAUAGAGAUCAGGGAAAGAGAGAUAUAUCUCGGUAUCGUCACCGUACAGGUGGUAGCGGAAUCCGAACGAAUUAAUACGUUUGCCAAGAGAGACAGUAAAAAGUGAAAACACAAAACGCUUCUCUCCUUUUGUGGAAACUGACUGGAUUCAAUUCUCUUACAUUGGAACAACUAAACUUUCCAAUGCCGACAUUCUAUCCUAAUAUUCAGAAAUGCGUUUUCAAUUCCCAGUUUAGUAGUUAAACUCUUACGUCUUUCCUUUGACUCUAAUAAUAUAAAUAACAUAAAUCGAUAUUAUCUUGUUUUGCCGACCCAUUUCAUUUCUUUCUUUGUGUCCAUGUAGCGAGACCCGGUUGAAGUUUUAUUCAAAGUAUAUUUAAAAAGGUCUUUUUAUCACUUGUACAAGCUCGGGGCGGCCGAUAUUUCAGGGUCCUGAGGUUUUUAACGUGUCUUAUUAUAUUAUACACUGAGACGAAGUAAAGGCUGACAUGGAUCAUUAUUCCUUUCUCCGUUAUCAUUAGGUUUGGAGCUGUACUCGAGGUUUUCCUCACCCCAUUAGGCUUUUUUAACUCAGGAGAGAGAGAGAGAAAUUGAAAGACGGUUUAACACUGCAAUCAUUAUUUCCAGUAGGCCUCCUCCUUCGUAACAGCACUGCAGAGACCCGCACUAGACAAAUUCAUUUUUAUUAUUUAUACUGGGUGUGAGGCAGUAACAUGCUGGACUGACGAAGCAGCGCGAAUGGCUGUCUGUGGGGGCUUUAUGUACUCAGGAGUUUGCUAGUCAUGACAAACCGUGGAACAGUUAUCAUUAUUGCUCUGAAAUCUGUCAGAAUCUGAUUUGCAUUGAGUAAAGAAAAGCUGAGCUUCGGAGCAGCAUUGGGAGCUGCUGACAGUUAGUGUACAGCAGAAUGUACGGAACACUUUUAAACACUAACGAUCAUAUUGUUUUAUAUCAUGUAAUUGUUCAUUUGUUAUUUCUUCAUUCUCUCUCACAACAUUGUGCUCUCUUUCUCCCUGUCUUCCUUUUAAAUUAUCUUAAAUCUGUACCUAAUCUCUGUACCUUUCUUAACCACUUCACUUCCAAGCAGUUUAUAAAAAAAAAAAAAACACCCCCCACAAUUAUGGGUUCAUGGAAAGUAAUGAUUUUGGAUUUUUCGUUUCAGUACGUAUAGAUAGCGUAAUAAAAACAAACAUUCUGAUUGGACAGAAAAACAUUUAAUUUUCUUUUUUAUCUUUCAUCUUUUUUUUUUUUAUUGAAGUUAUGAAUUGCAUUAACAGCAACAUUAUCACAUAUUACUUUGGUAUACAAUUCAAACAUCUAAAACAUACAUAAAAAAAAUAACAGUAAAAGAGAAAAAAACAAAAAACAAUAAAUAUAUAUAUAAUAUACCUUAUUUUCCGGCGUAUAAGACGACUGGGCGUAUAAGACGACCCCCAACUUUUCCAGUUAAAAUAUAGAGUUUGGGAUAUACUCACCGUAUAAGACUACCCCUCUUCCAACGUACACCAAAUUAAAAUUAAAAAAAAAAACACCUGAGUCCUCCUUACUCACCCCCCUCUCCCUGUGUUCUCCUUACUCCCCCCCUCCCUGUGUUCUCCUUACUCCCCCCUCCCUGUGUUCUCCCUACUCUUUACCCCCCUCCCUGUGUUCUCUUUACUCCCCCCGUGUAUUCUCCUUAUCCUCCCCUGUAUUCUCCUUACCCCUCUAUAUUCUCCUUAUUCCCCCCUCUGUAUGCUCCUUAUCCUCCCCCCUCUGUAUUCUCCUUAUUCCCUGUAUUCUCCUUAUCCUCCCCCUCCUUAUUCCCCCCUCUGUAUUCUCCUUAUCCCCCCUUAUUGGAGUUAGCACUUCGAAUUUCCGAAGUGGUUCGAAGUGGGACUUCGAACUGUCAAACAGCCGGACCACCCGCAAGUGGAGUGUGCUGCUUGUUAAUCUCCCAGGAGCUGUGGUUAACCGAGCUGGGUGUUCGCCGUUCAUAUAGUCGAACCACUUGGGGUUUUUACAGGUAAAAUGCGCCAUCCAGGCCAGGAGACUGAGAAUAGACCCAGACCCAUAAUGACAUGAAAGAUAACAGGACUUUCAUAAUUACUAGGUAUGUAGGUAUGUUUGUAGAGCUGUAUCUAAGACUUCUGAGGUGAAGUCUUAUAUGGAGUAUGGCUCCAAGGUUGGCAGCAUUUUAAUAAUGUCAUAUAUAAUAAUGUUGGCAGCAUUUGAAAAUGUAUUAUGAAAUAAAUCACAAAGCUCAUGUUAUUGGUAAUCAAUAUGAAAAGUUCAAAAAGGCUUAAAUCAGAGUGGCAGAAUUUCAUUAACAAAAAACUGAUUUAGGAAAUGAAGCAGAUGAACCAAAUGGGCACAAAGAUGGCCCAAUCAGUAUACUGCAAAAUAUAUACACUGCUCAAAAAAAAUAAAGGGAACACUUAAACAACACAAUGUAACUCCAAGUCAAUCACACUUCUGUGAAAUCAAACUGUCCACUUAGGAAGCAACACUGAGUGUCAAUCAAUUUCACAUGCUGUUGUGCAAAUGGGAUAGACAACAGAUGGAAAUUAUAGGCAAUUAGCAAGACACCCCCAAUAAAGGAGUGGUUCUGCAGGUGGUGACCACAAUCCACUUCUCAGUUCCUGUGCUUCAUGGCUGAUGUUUUGGUCACUUUUGAAUGCUGGCGAUGCUUUCACUCUAGUGGUAGCAUGAGACGGAGUCUACAACCCACACAAGUGGCUCAGGUAGUGCAGCUAAUCCAGGAUGGCGCAUCAAUGCGAGCUGUGGCAAGCAGGUCCAUAGCAGGUCCAUAGCAUGGAGGUGCUACAAGGAGACAGGCCAGUACAUCAGGAGACGUGGAGGAGGCCGUAGGAGGGCAACAACCCAGCAGCAGGACUGCUACCUCUGCCUUUGUGCAAGGAGGAACAGGAGGAGCACUGCCAGAGUCCUGCAAAAUGACCUCCAGCAAGGCCACAAAUGUGCAUGUGUCUGCUCAAAUGGUCAGAAACAGACUCCAUGAGGGUAGUAUGAGGGCCCGACGUUCACAGGUGGGGGUGGUGCUUGCAGCCCAACACCGCGAAGGACGUUUGGUAUUUGCCAGACAAUACCAAGACUGGCAAAUUAGCCACUGACGACCCGGGGCUCUUCACAGAUGAAAGCAGGUUCACACUGAUCACAUGUGACAGACGUAACAGAGUCUGGAGAUGCUGUGGAGAACGUUCUGCUGCCUGCAACAUCCUCCAGCAUGACCGGUUUGGCAGUGGGUCAGUAAUGGUGUAGGGUGGCAUUUCUUUUGGGGGCCGCACAGCCCUCCAUGUGCUCGCCAGAGGUAGCCUGACUGCCAUUAGGUACUGAGAUGAGAUCCUCAGACCCCUUGUGAGACCAUAUGCUGGUGGGGUUGGCCCUGGGUUCCUCCUAAUACAAGACAAUGCUAGACUUCAUGUGGCUGGAGUGUGUAAGACGAAGGCAUUGAUGCUAUGGACUGGCCCGCCCGUUCCCCAGACCUGAAUCCAAUUGAGCACAUCUGGGACAUCAUGUCUCGCCCCAUCCACCAACGUCACGUUGCACCACAGACUCUCCAGGAGUUGUCAGAUGCUUUUAUUUUUGUGUGAUUUUGUUGUCAACACAUUCAACUAUGUAAAGAACAAAGUAUUUCAGAAGAAUAUUUAAUUCAUUCAGAUCUAGGAUGUGUUAUGUUUGUGUUCACUUUAUUUUUUUGAGCAGUGUACAUAACAUGAUUAGAAUAUAAAUGUAAUAAUAUAAAUAGUAUGUAUAUAUUUUGCAUUACACUGACAGGAGACUUUCCUGCCAAUUUGUUCAAUUGGGAAAAAAAGUAAACAAAAGAUGGAAAAAUAGAAGCAGUAAAAAAAAUAUACAAUAGAUCCUUUACUGCCCCUCCUUUUCCACUCUAUCAGUCACUUCUCACUUAAUUUAUGAAUAAAAUCAACAUUUAGUGACUUUUUAACACAUUUCCCAUCAAUCAUCUAGUCUUUUAAUGUCAUGGGUGGAAACCAGAAUCACAAAUCAAAAUGUUACAGCUCAGAGUUCAGAAAUUCGCCCAAUCAACCGAUUGUUCCAAAUUUACACAAAUUGUAGUUUGGACCGAAAGUCUAGUUUGAAAAAAGCCACGAUUGGUCAAUAACUACUUGUGAUUAUAUCCAGCAGAUCUCACUGUCUCUCAUUAACCCUCAAAAGCUCCCAGAGGUUUCAAAAGUAAGAGAGUACUCACUAUGCUUCAAACAAUAACAUGAACAUUUAAUCCAGUUAAGCAUUUCAGUCCUCACUUUAGAACAGCGUUUCCCAAUUGGUGUUCCGUGGAACAAAAAUGGGGUUUCGCCAAAAUUUCUAACAACAAAAUGGCCGCGGGCGCCCAGGGAGAAGUGGGCAGUGAUCUCGCUUCUCAGCUCCCUCUCGCACACAGCAGUGAUGCCAGAGACAGAUUAUGACAUCACUCCGGCUCCGGCGUCACUAAGAGGUGCGCGAGGGAGCUGAGCAGGGAGAUCACUGCUUCCUCGCCGCCUGCAUGCCAGCCACUCAGCAGCCCCACUGAACCCCAUGGACCACACGCCAGCCACUCAACAGCCCCACUGGACCACGGGGACAUAGAGACUCCAUGCCAGCACUCCCAAAGGUAGGGAGGCUGGGUGGAGUAAAAUUUUUUAAAAAAAUAAAAAAAAUUGUAUGUGUGUCUGUCAGGGAGUUUGUAUGUGCUUGUGUGUCUGUCAAAGAGUAUAUGUGCGUUUGUCAGUGAGAGUGUGAGUGUGUAUGUGUUUGUCAGUGAGAGUGUAUGUGUGUCUGUCAAAGAGUAUGUGUGUCUGAGUGUGGCUGUGUGUGUCUGUGUGUCAAGGUUUGUGUAUGUGUCACUGUGUGUAUCUAUGUGUGUGUAUCAGUAUGUCUGUGUGUGUGUGUAUGUGCCAGUGUAUAUCAGUGUGUUUGCAUGUGCCUGUGUGUGUGUAUGUUAGUGUGUGUGUGUGUGUGUAUCCGGGUGUGUCAGUUUGUGUAUAUGACACUGUGUGUAUGUGUCAAUGUGUGUGUAUCUGUGGGUGCAAGUGCGUGUAUAUGUCACUGUGUUUAUCUGUGUGUGUGUAUUUGUGAGUCAAGAUGUGUGUAUGUGUCACUGUGUACAUCAGAGUGUGUGUAUGCAUUUCUGAGUGUGUGUAUCGGUGUGUGUGUCUGUGUGUCAGUGUGUAUCUGUGUGCCACUAUGUGCCAGUGAGUGUGUGUAUCUGUGUGUCAGAUACAUAUACACACACACAGAUAUACACUGACACAGAGAUACACACACACCGGCACUUACAAACACAGAUACACACACCGGCACUUACAAACACAGAUACACACACUUUGACACUUUGACACAUAGAUACACACACCUUGAUAUCCAGAUACACACACACACACAGAUAUACAUUGUGUGUCAAGGUGUGUGUAUCUGUUUCUGUGUGCCAAAAUGUGCCAGUUUGUGUGUAUCUGUGUGUCAGAUUUAUACAAACACAGAUACACACACUUUGAUACACAGACACAUACAAACACAGUGUUACGUCCUAUUCCAUUUUGCGGAUAAGUCUGGCCUUGGCUUCUGGUAUCCAGUACUCUUUUUACAAUUCUUGUUUAGUUUUUCUUGUUUUUUCUGCUUUUCUUUAUGCUGGGUUUUCUGGGUACAUUCCUUUAUUCCGUUUCUGGAAUUCCUAGUCUCCUGGAUUCCUUUAAAUGUUUGUUUGUUGUUGCCACACCCAUUAAUCCUUUUUGUUUUAGUCUGCUGCUGCAAGCAGUGGUCUCAUUACCUCUUUCUUUGCAGGUAAGUACUCUGUGUGUUUUACUAUUUAUUUAGCCAUGCAUAUCUAGGCAGUUAGGACCCACCGUAAUUGGAGUACUUUGGCGCAGUGGUGGGCUGCAUACAUCUUUGCCAUUUAUGUAUGUCUAAAUCUCCAAUGUUAAUUACAUAUGUAGUACUUAGUUAUGUCUCCUCUUGAUUUGCCUUGUAUCUCUUGUCUCGUUUUAUUUGUCUUGUAUUCCCAGUUCAUGUACAGUCCUGUCCUGUCCAUGUCCUGUUCAUGUUUCCCUCAUGUAUUGUGUACAUGUUCUCGGUUCUUAUUUCUCUCCUGCUCCGGUUCUGGGUUCUUCUAGUCCUGUCUUGUUAUCUUGUAUGGUGCCUAUUCUAGUCUUGCCUUGUUUCUAGUACUGGAUACAUAUCUGCUGCAGAGCCUCCUUAUCCAGAUCCUGGGAGGUCUGCUUAAUAUCAGCUCCUGGCAUCCGCUAAGCUGCAUCAGGGGUCUGCAAUGUGGCCGCACAAACGCUGGUGCGCAACACCAGGGGGCGUGUGUUUACCCUGGACCAGACCCUGAUUGUCCAUUUCCACGCUGAGACUCCCAUCAUCAUUAUCAGGCAUACAGGGGUCCCGGUCUUCGGACCGCCACCCGUGACACACAGAUACACACACUAUGACACACAGAUACACACACUUUGACACACAGAUACAUACACACACACAGUAACACCGAUACACACACUGGCAUAUUCAAACACCCACCGACACAUACAAAGAACGGCGCAAUUUUUUUUCGGGGAGGAGGGGGAGUUUGGGGGUUCCACGGUGUUGAUACACUAUGUCAAAGGGUUCCACAGGAAAAAUUAAUUGGGAACCCCUGCAUUAGGACAUUUAUCAGUUAGUUGAAUGAAUAAAAUCAUGAAGGAAAGUUCACUACAGCAUGCGACCACUUCUUGCAAAUUGUAAAAAUGAUCGAGUUAGAAUAAUUUAUUAUAAAAAGAAGUCACCCUUACUGUCCUGUCUUGGAAUCCCAUGCUAGUUUCUUUGCCAAGAGAUAUUUCUAAACCAUCACUUCUGAAAAGUAAGAUAAAAUCAUGCAAUAUGGACACAGCCAUACUUUACGUUACAUUUAUCUCUUGAUAUUGGCACCCAUGCAGGUACAUCGUGUAAGUGUGACAUCAUCUGGUUCACUGUGGCUGUUGCCGUAAAUCUUACCGGCCCGGAUUGGCAUUUCCUCUCCACACCUUAUUUACUGUCUUUAUUGUACUUUUGUGCUUGUUUUCAUUUCAAUUUUCACUGUCUUUCUCUGUCCUUCCUCCCUUCUUUUCUCCCACUUUUCCUACCUACCGUCCUUCUCUCCCUUCCUUCCUUCCUUCCUUCCCCCAUCCUCCCUUUCUCCCUCUCAUCCUCCCAUCCUCCCUUUCUCCCUCUCAUCCUCCCUCUCAUCCUCCCAUCCUCCCUCCUUGCCCCAUCCUCCCUCUCUCAUCCUUCCUCUCAUCCUCCCUUUCUCCCUCUCUCAUCCUCCCUCUCAUCCUCCCUUUCUCUCUUUCAUCCUCCCUUUUCCCCUCUAAUCCUCCCUUUCUCCCUCUCAUCCUCCCUCUCAUCUUCCCUCUUAUCCUCCCUUUUUCCCUCCUUCUCAUCUUCCCUUUUUCCCUCCUUCUCAUCCUCCUUUCCCCCUCUCAUCCUCCCUUUCUCACUCUCAUCUUCCCUCUCAUCCUCCCUCUCAUCCUCCCUUUUUCCCUCCUUCUCAUCCUUCCUUUCUCCCUCCUUCUCACCCUCCCUUUCUCCCUCCUUCUCACCCUCCCUUUCUCCCUCCUUCUCACCCUCCCUUUCUCCCUCUAAUCCUCCCUUUCUCUUUCUCAUCCUCCCUUUCUCCCUCUCAUCCUCCCUUUCUCCCUCUCAUCCUCCCUUUCUCCUUCCCUCCUUGCCCCAUCCUUCCAGAUCAUCUUUCUUUGUCUUUUUUGACCUCCUGCUUCUCCCUCUGUGUGCUUGCUUACUCCAUAACUUUAUCAUUCCAUCCCUCUUUCUGUCUCUCCAUUUGUAUCUCUCCGUUUUCAUUCAGAAUAUCCUUUUUUAUUUCUCCAUUUUCUGCUAUAUAUUACAAUAAAUAACAUGUAUCUGUGUCACAAGGCUUGAUGCAUUAUUUAUUUAAUCACCGUUUCAGUUCGUGACCACUUUCAUUAAAACAAAUGCAUUUUCCUUAUUUUAAAGGAGACACGUUAGUUAUUAUAAUAUGUCUAGACAUGACAAGACUCCCAGCUUCCUGUACAGCACAAAUCACUCUGAUUUAUCAAAGUCUGCUGCUUACCGAGCCAGAAACUCAGUCAGAACCUAACGAACAAUCAUUUUCUUUAUUUACAUUUUGUCUUAUGUAACUGGAGGCUCCUGGCUUUAAAGUGGCAGUGCCAAUUAUUUGCUGAGAGUGCUGGGAGUGGAUUGGCCAGGGAGAGGUUAAUUCAGUGCUCUCACAGGCUAUUGUUUCUGUCUGAAUCAGUUUUUGUCAUCUCUUGCCACCACACUACGUGACGCUUGUCUCCAAAUGUGUCCAGGUAAGUCAGGAAAGGUGUGUCACCUGCGUAUUUUCUCGUGUGAUAAAACUGAUAUUUUAGCAAUUAAUCAAUGCAAUAAUGAGUAAGAUCUCAUUUCGCUUUUCUCUCCAUACGAAUGUCUGUCUGUCUGUCUGUCUGUCUGCAUGUUUUAAAUCGAAUGCAUCCCAAAUCCUUAUCCCAAUCUGUCCAUGUCUCUUGGAAGCUACGUUUAGUUCUCUGACUUGGAGCUUGUCGCUCCUUCCGUUGCUUAAUUCAUGUCUAUUCCAACACAGUCUGUGAAUAUUAUUGGAUGCAGUUUGUUUUCUUGCUGUUUUUUUGGGAUGCCCCUUUAGGUGGGAUCAGUCUAUUUUGCUAAUGGUGUACAUUUUCUUUGUAAAACUUGUUUAAAAGUUGAGUGGGGACUCAUCGUAGUGAAUUGUACUCUCAGUGUAUUCUCACUGAGUGUACAUUAAAUUCUGACGGAAUCCUGCAUACAGCAAUGGUUGUACAUUUACUGUUACAUCAAAACACUUGAAAGUAUAUUAUUCACAUUUAUAAUUUGCAGAAUAGAGUAGAUUCAGAUUUACACUGAGCAUUUUCUGGUUACUCACAUACGUAAUAUAUGUAUAGAAAAUUAUUUGUGCUAACAUAGCCCCCAACAUCACACAAAUAGUGUCACGAUUGCUGUUCAAGGGCAAAACCACCAAGAAAGGGGGUGAAUCCACCUGAAGAAUGGGCCGGCUAAUCGCCUAUCGCCUAUCAGUCGUUCAGGCUGGCCACUAAGGGAAGACUGCGCAGGGAGCAAUGCUUCAGCACAGGUUUAGUAAAUAUACGUUACUAUUAAACGUGUAGCCCAGACAGCAGCAGGAUCCGGCAUAAUAUCACAGACUAUUUCCCAAGGCCAAGUCUGACUCUUCGCUCGAUGCAGACAUUAGCCUCUAUUUACUGCACAGUAGUGAUGGUGUUACUUAACACUUAUUAAGAUGAGCUCUCUCCCAAGUACAGCUAAACAAACAGCGCACACAAAAAAACAAAUACAGUGUACAAGGUUGCUUAAAAUCACCUAUUUCAGCAAACAAAUACAUUCAGCUACACUAUAUGGACGUAGUGUGUUAAACCCACCACUACGUCACAGUAGCCCAAUAUCAGUGGGUCCUACACUAAUUGUAACAUGGGAGAUUUACAUGUUAAGUUAAUUACUUACAGCUUAAACUGCUUAACGAGACUCCUCAACCCAAAAGGAAUCUCGUCUGGGUUCCAAAUCUACACAGAAAAAAAUGGGAAUUGUGGGGUACACCCAGAACAUGCAUUUCUAAGCAAUGGUGCUGCCGUGAAGCCUAAAAUCUCUAUAAAAUACAGUUAAACUCUCUCCUGUCUGUCGUACGGACAUAAGGCUGGCAAAAGAACUAUCGAUAACAAAACCUCGUUACCUUCUCUCUGAUUAGUAGAUAUACUGUUAUUGGCUGAAGCAUGAUAAAUAAAUACAAUUGUGAAGUAUCUACAAAGGUCUGUCAAUGCUAUUUUACUGGAAAAACACAUCUCACCUCUUCUGAUGCUGAAAGUCCUAGCGUGACCUAUCUAACUCCCGUAUUAUAGAUGUAUAUCCCCAAUACUUUAAUUUACUGUGUGAGAGAAAUGUCGGCAUCCGGUGUGAUGUAAUGAGAGUACAUUAUUUAUUUUUUUCUGUUUGUGAGCAACAGAUAUUCUGAGUUUGUUCUAAAUAAUUUAAAUACAGCACUCAGUGUGUUUCAGAAGGCCCUGGCCAGUUUUAUUCCACAUUUACUUAUCUCCUCCUGAUAGGCUGUGUGUGACCUGCACGCUGACAGACAAUACAGUCGCCCCCCCCUCAACAUUCCGGCCAACUCUCGGAGAUGAGAGGGUGUUGGGCUCGCCAGUGAUCCCCACAGACGGGACACGCAUUCACCCCAGGCUGGCUGAGAGCAUCCCAGCUGUCCUCAAUCAGGGCAGACAAUGCAGAGAAUAUUGAAGACCACCAGAUACAUGAGCUAGACUCAGCCAAUUGGCUGAGAGUGAUAAACUGCAACUUUUAAUCAAUAAAACUAGCACUUAGUUCAGGACAGCUAACAGAAGCUUCUGUCUAGGACCUCCAGUACUCCUAAAACCAUGUAUUUAUUAUUAUUUAUUUAUUACUGCUAUUUAUAAAGCGCCAACAGAUUCCGCAGCGCUGUACAAUUAGUGGAGAAACGUACAAUAUACACAGACAAAUACAAGAGGUAGAGAGAGCCCUGCCCGUAAGCUGAUAUCCAGCCAUUGGAGCUCUUUUAUACAAAGCGCUUGGCUAAAUGGCUUACAAUCUACAGGAUACCAUGGGGAUUUGAGACAAGAGGUAGCAGAGGCAGCAGGGGUAAUAUAUUCCUUUAAUAUAUUUCUAUGAAUUUGUUUAUCAUAGGCCUCAAUUUAAUUCUGUUUAAAACAACAAACUACUUUUGAAAUUAUUUAUGUAUAGAAGUCAGCAUGGAAGCCUGUGGUAAUGUCCGUGCAUAAAUCAUUUGAACAGUUUUUCAAAUAUUUAUAUAUUUUAUUUUAGAGUCCCAGCAAAAAAAGUGUAGCUGGAGUCUGGAAUAGUAUCGUGUUUUAAUGACAUUAGAUAUCUGAAGAAAGUAAAAUAAAAUAAAAAAAUAAAAAUUCUAUUAUUCCCGUCUUUAAAAAAGAUCAGAUAAAAAAGUUAAAAGAAAAUUCUUGACCUGCGUCCCGCCGCUGUCACUGGUGACAAUUGAUGGUUCCGCUGCUACGUGGAGAUGAAUGUCGAACUAUGGACCUUACUUAUCAUACUGGGGUGACUGCUCGGCUCUCUCACUAACCAGACUCCAAUCUAGCUCUUCUCUAAUUAACCGUUACUUCAACUCAGACAUGUAACGUGAAAAGUAAUUAACUUGAUGAUUAAACUAUAUCCUGUUAAUGAUAAUUGGCAAAGAUGCGUAUACGGCUAUUGUUACUAAUAGUUACGAGAAUUUGCCGGGGGAUCAUUAAUUGCAUUGGUAAUCGAGAGUGCGGAAUCAAUCUGUUUUCUUGGGGAUUCUACGAAAUGUUACAGUGUGCAGAAAUGCUGUGUUUAACCCUUUCAUGACUGUUUUCUUUGUCAGUAUGUGUGUGUUUUAGCUGUGCUGUAUGUUAAACAAUGAUUCCCAACCAAUUGCACAAAAUGUAUCAGACUCUUUUCACACGGUUUGUGCUAAACUGGUGCAGCUAAACUCACUUGGAGAUCUCAUUUGUUUUUUGGCUAUAAAAUUUCACACUGUUGUAAGUUCCCAUAGAAACCACUGAACCCAAAACUGAUAAAAAAAAUAUAUAUAUAUAAAUAUUUUUAGAACAGGAAACCUCAAGGUAAGGACACGCCAUGCAGUCAUUUUAUCACCAAAUCUGCUACAUUUUAAUAUUUGUUAUGGAAGGUGUUCAUGUCUCGAUUUAAUAAACUUUCCAAAUGAUUCGAUACUGUUAGAAAAUAUUCCAAAUGAAGCAACAUUAUUAAUUAGUAUUCCAACCAGUAUCUACAAAUAAAUUACAUGUUGCAAUCUGCCUUUCUUAGUAAAUACCGAUAUGUCCUCGCUUUUAGGGAGUUCAAAAACUAGUUAGAUACAUGUUGAAAAACGAACUAGUAAAGUCGCUUUUCCCAAUACUCAAAUGCUAUGAGUUUCAGUGCAUGAUACGACAGUCACAGCUUGUCUUAUUAUGGGAUGUUGAAAUGAUGAUGUCUCUGGCACAUUAUCCAUCUUCAAGUGGUUAAUAUGCAGACAAUCAUAUAACAUGAAUAUAACUCAUCCCUGCUGCGUUUCAUGCUAGCUGUUAUUUGAUCAUGUCCGAGGCUGCGUUUAUGGAAUCAAUAGCAAUUUAUCAGCAAUCCUUAGUGAUCAGGGAAAUGGACUAACUAGCCAGCUGCUGCGUUGUUAGAAUGGAUGUAAACAUCCCUGUUCUCAUAUCUAUAAAUCAGAAUAAUUAGGCUGAUAUUUCAAUAUUCCUUCCAACAGCAUUCUGAUCUUUGUGAAAAUACAAAAUGUAAAUUUACUAAUAGGGUCAAAACGACUCAGAAAAUAUCUAAACGCAUAUAAAAAAAAACCCAACUGGAGAUGCAGUUUUUGUUUUAAAAAGGGAUGUUCUGUAUGACAGAAUGUGUGAUUCAACAUAAAACCAUAUAAGAUUAAAAGAAAAUGGUGUUUUGUACAUUUGUUGUAUUGACCUCAAUGAUCCAUUUCUUACAAACAACAAUUAAUUAGUUGAAAUCUCGUAUUGUUAGAGCAGAUCAGUCACAUAUUAAACAGCAGAAUAAAAUGGGCUAUUACACGCUAUUUUAAUAGAGAUUUUUUUUUUUUAGAGAUUUUUUUUUUAAUAAAAAACAGUGAAUUGAACAAAAAAGUUUCCCAAGGAUGAUGUAUUGGAAGAGAAGCUACGAGACAAAACCAAGUCAGACAUUUUACUGAUUGGGAAUGCUGUAAGAAGCAAAGACUAAAUGUUAACCUCAUGUAAACAUGCGUUAAUGUGAUCAAGCCAGUAGCCCCAUGCAGUAAGCGCAGUUUAGUGGAAAGGAUCCUUGACAGGGCUAGGAGGCGGGCAUAGAUAGAUCUGAGCAAGGAUUGGUAGUUUUGGCUCGGGGGGGGGGGGGAUCAUAUAUAUAAAUGCAACCAUUUUAGUCUUGGUCAAUUCUAAUUUACUUACCAGUGUGUACCCUCCACCCAUAGUUGGUUGGGUUUCUGUUUCUAUCCCCGCUUGGUCACAGUGGCCAGGCUGGUGAGGUGAAGAUUAAGGUGGAAUAUGGUCUUUUAGUUAGGAAACGAGUUGAGGUAGUUAAAAAGCAGUUGAUUAAAAUAAGUUUGGUUAUACAGUCAGUUAUUGAGUUGGAGGUUUCUAGUCCGUCGUUGGCUCAGAAGGGUAAAGAUCUAUAGAAAACAUUUACUCCAAUCAAUAAAAAGGCAGCAGUAGGUCCUACACGUUUCGCCCAACAAUCUUGGGCUUCCUCAGGGAUCAUCAACAGUAAAUACAUAAAUCGAAUGUAUAAACCCCCACACCACAGUGUCCAUAUAUACAGUCCUUGUAUAGGUAUCCUGUUGGUCCAUGUUCCUGCCUGAUCUUCAAUGUUCCUUUCACUGUUUGUAUCCCUGUGUAUGAAAAUCUUGUGUAUGGAACGCACUAUGGAACACAAAAGUAUCCAGGAUGCAAAUUGGAAUGAUAACCUUUACAAUUCCAAAGGUAAUUGAAAGUGUCAUAAGGUGUGUGAUGGACAUACGAUGGACAUACUUUGAUAGACAAACAUAAGUUGAUGGAUAGACUUACUUUGGCGAAGAGAUUUACAUUAAGAGACUUACAUUGACAUACAGACUUACACUCACAGACAGACUUACAAUGACACAGACUUACACUGACAUACAGACACAUUGGUGGACAGAUUUACAUUAAAAUAUAGACUUGCAAUGACACACAGAAUACAUUGAUGGACAAACUUACAUUGAAGGAUAAACUUACAAUGACAGACAGACUUACAUUGGUGGACAAAUUUACAAUAAUAGACAGACUUAAACUGACAGACUUACAUUGAUGGACAAAUUUACACUGACAGAUUUAGGUUGAUGGCCAGACUUAAAUUGACAGACAGACUUACAUUAUCACAUAAACGUUGCUGACAGACAGACAUACAUUGAUUUUACAUUUCUGAGUUCGCUUUUAGUGUCUUUAUACAAACAUGGAUUUUGACCGCAAACAAAAUCCCAUCAGUCCAUUUUUAAUCUGUAACUUGCCCCAGAUAAACAUUUAGAUGUCUACUUUCUUUUCUGUUUUGUCUCCUUUUGCAUUAGCACCUACCAACCCUGCUGGAUGUGUAUUCUCUGUAUGUACAACCCUUUCUGUAAAAACACAAAUAACUUCUGAUGUAAGUGAUACAUUUGUCUUGCUGUUCUGUCGCUUUGUUCGAGAUCACCUCUUUAUACAGGGCGUAACAUUCUUACUAAAUCCAUUGUAAUAUUUGUGUCUGUUUUACAGGUCGCUUUAUUUCAGCAAAUUGUUUUAUACACAGCGGAAGCGAAGAGGCUGGUGCGGUUGCAAUCGAUUAUGACACAGUAACAGUUCCGCACAUUAUCUCUGUGUUACACACUAUGUACUAGGUGAGCCAUCGUUUGCCAUUAUCUUUCAGCUGUAAAAUUGAUGCAGGAUUUUUUCUCCAGACGUAUCCCAGAUAAGAAAUUGCUUUGCUUUUCGGUGGGAAUUUUUUUCCCAUUAGUAGAUAUUUGGGGAGUUUUAUGAACCUCUGAGCGCUAUAUAUAAAUAAAAAUGCUCCUUCGAUAUGAUCUCACCCAUUGCUCUGCUAAAUUGAACUGAGGUUUGUCACCUAGCCUGUAUAUUAAAACAUUUAGCCCUAAGUCAUUAAUAAUCCCUUGAAGCUUGCAAUCGGAUAGCUGUUUUUAUUUAUGCUAGCUCCCCAGAAAGCGUGGAUAUUUCGCUGAAUUAGUCUGUUUUUCUGGGUAAGAUCCAUGGAGUGAUGUCUCUCAAUCAAUAGUUUAGUGUAAGAAUGGCGUGGUAUAAAGACUAUUAACCAUUUAUUUAGUCCUAUGUGUUUCUGAAGUCAGACCUAUCGUGUAAACCCCCCAUCACUCCGAUAGCUCUAUGUGAACCUCUUCCGCUAAUUAGAUGAUCAGUAUAUUCAUUUUUACAUUUAGCUAUUUAAUUAUCUUUUUUUUUUCUGUGAAACAGACUGUGAUUUAAUUACCUGUUAUAUCUCACACAUUCUCACUGCAAAAAAAAUUACACUUUUUCCCCCCCAAAAAAUUCUAUUUUGUAUGUAAAUGCGAUAUGCUAUUAAGUGAUAGAAAAUAUACUUGAAUACAGCUGACUGGGUUUUGGUAAAUAUUAAUCUGUUUUUUCAUUCUUUGAUUUAUUCUGAAUUGUAGUCAAUUGAAAUCCAAAUGGCAAAAUCUCGGGGGAAAAAAAGCUGGUUUGGAAAAUCUCAGCUGUACUCGUAGUUCGGAUAUUUUUUACUCUGCAAAUCGAUGUUUAGUAAGUAAACCCCUGUGAGUAAAAAAGACACUGAAACAGACCACUACGUAACUAACAAUUCCACAAGAGUUUACCUGCAGAAAAUGAGCUAAUUAAUAAAUCAGUUAUUAUUAUUUUUUUUUACCAUCAUCUGCAAAGUGUCAACAUAUUCUGCAGCACGUAUUGUGCCAUUUAAUGGUUCUGGGUAGAAUAUGAACCCAUUGUGGUAUAAAAUAGGCCCAGAAAGAAAUACACAGGAGUUUUUUUUUUUUUUUUUUUACUAAUGUGAGGAUUCAUAUUGAAUUUCAAAUUUCAAGCCAUAGUAGCUAAACUUAAAGCAUAACAGACUUUGGCUAAAUUGGCCAUAAAUUAGGAUUUCUCUGUGAAUUCACAUAGAAUUCUCACUUCAGUAAAUAACCCUGGCAACAGUGUUGGGGUCACAGCUGCCACUGGGCCAUCACUCCAGGGGGCCCAGCUUCCCUGUCCGACCCCUGCUGAUUUACAACUCAGACUUGCACACUAAGGGCGCCCAUUGGGUGGUCCAUGCACUUAUGGCCACCCGAUGGGCAUUUGUCAGCAGGAGCCCGGACAGGUGCUGUGGCCCUUUAACAGCACGACUGGUUUCCCUACUUAUCAGCAGCAUGAGAGGAAGUGAGAGCUGGUCACUUCCUCCUACAGAAAGAGAAGAAGGCAUAGAGGAGGAGGGCUGGGCCAGGAGAGACAGACCCAAACACCCUAACGCCUCAGUCAGUGCAAAGGACUCCAGGGAAGCCACCCUCCUGCAGCCAAAAGGUAGGAAACUAAAGGGUAGGUAUAAGAGUGGAAAUUUUCAUCAGCAUAUGUGUGUGUGUGUGUAUGUCUGUCAGUGUGUGUCUAUAUGUCUGUAAGUUUGUGUAUCUGUAUCUCUGUCAGCGUGUGUGUGUGUCUAUCAGUGUGUGUAUCUGUAUGUCUGUCAGUGUGUGGGUGUCUGUCAGUGUGUGUAUCUGUGUGUGUGAAUCUGUAUGUCUGUCAGUGUGUGUCUAUAUGUCUGUAGGUUUGUGUAUCUGUAUGUCUGUCAGCGUGUGUGUGUGUGUAUGUAUCUGUGUGUCUGUCACUGUGUAUCUGUGUGUGUGAAUCUGUAUGUCUGUCAGUGUGUGUCUAUAUGUCUGUAAGUUUGUGUAUCUGUGUGUUUGUCAGUGUGUGUGUGUCUAUAUGUCUGUCAGUGUGUGAAUCUGUAUGUCUGUCUGUGUGUGUGUGUCUAUAUGUCUUUCAGUGUGUGUUACUGUAUGUCUGUCAGUGUGUGUGUGUGUGUGUGUGUGUCUAUAUGUCUUUCAGUGUGUGUUACUGUAUGUCUGUCAGUGUGUGUGUGUGUGUCUAUAUGACUUUCAGUGUGUGUUACUGCAUGUCUGUCAGUGUGUGUAUCUGUGUGUGUGAAUCUGUAUGUCUGUCAGUUUGUGUGUAUCCGUGUGUCUCUGUCAGUGUAUGUAUGUGUGUGUGUCUAUAUGUCUGUCAGUGUGUGUAUCUGUAUGUCUGUAAGUUCUUGUAUCUGUGUGUGUGAAUCUGUAUGUCUUUUCAAAUAAUUUUUAUUAAAGUUAUAAUGUUUUUACAGCAAAUUAUAACGAAUAGUCAAACAUACUAUUUGGAGUAGGAAAGGAAAGGGAAACAUGGAAAUUGAAAAGGGGAUCCAUCCAUUUUAGUUAACACAUGAAAUAAUGUACAAAACAUUAGUUAUACAUCAUUGAGCUUAACAAAAUAUAUACUCUAUAAGCAGCAUUUUUUUUUAAAUAUCUUAUUCCCAUUUAUCCAAAAUAUGUUGAAGGUUUGCAAAUAAAUGUGUGUUUUUUCUAUAAGACAUAUUAGCCUUAUUGUCUAAAACCAUGUUCAAAACUUCUUUACGUGUAGAUAGAUUUUUAGACUUCCAGUAUCGAGGUAAACAUGAAGUAGCUGCGAGUAGGAUGUGGCCUAUUAUUAUUCUAUCUAUUUUCGUAACAGACUCCGGGAAUUUCUUAAAUAUUGCUAUCUCUGAUGACAAGAUACUUAUAGCCUUGUCCACUUUAAUGACAAGGCUGUCAGUUUGUUUGUAUUUUUAUGUCUGUUAAUGUGUGUGUGCAUGUAUAUUUAUGUCUAUCAAUGUGUCUGUGUGUCAGUAUGUGUAGCUGGAUGUGCAUCAGUGUGUGCAUCUCUGAAUUUGUAUCUGUAUGUGUGUCAGUGUGCAUAUCUGUGUGGGUUUAUCUGUAUGUGUGUCUAUGUGUGUAUCUGUGUGUCUGUAUCUUUAUGUGUGUAAGUUUGUGUAUCUGUAUCCGUAUGUGUGUUGGUAUGUGUAUAUAUGUUUCUGUAUAUCUGCAUGUGUGUCAUUGUUUAUAUAUGUGUAUCUGCAUGUGUGUCAGUGUGUGUAUCUGUGUGUAUCUCCCCGGCUACUGAACAAGAGGUGGCUUCGCUUCUCCUAUCCUCUCGCCCCUGAACUUGCCCGCUUGAUCCUAUCUCAUCUCACCUUAUUAGAUCUCUCCCCCUAUGUCUUGCACCUUUAUUAACACACAUAUUCUACUGCUCUCUCUCUUCUGGCGUUGUCCCUGUAAAACUGUGUGUGUGUAUAUGCACACACACACACACGUAAUCUUAUAAAUUAUUAUAGUUAUAAUAUAUAUAUAUAUACACACACAAACAUCAGUAUGAUACACAUAUGUUAAUAGACAUAUGCAUACAUAAUACACAUUUGUAGAUUACACACGUAUAUAAAUGUAACAAGGGUUUUACAUUUUUCAAAGGGUUAUUCACAAAAUUUUUCAUUUUAGAAAGUGAAAAUCUAAAUUGCAUAAUUUAGACCAAAAUAGCGGAUUUGAAAAAUCCAAACUUCGCCAUAGGGACAGCUUGAAUAUUAUAGCCUAAUUUUUGAAAUGUAUUCACAAAAAUUAUUAGUUUAGUCGAUAACCCCGCCCUUCUCUCAGUCUUUCAUUCCCUGGUAUCAAACUAUAUCCAACGCAGAGUGCACUCAUAGGAUUGAGGACUAAACAAAAUAAGAUUAAUUUAAAUUAGACAUGCAGCAGCUAUCAGUCAAUGACUAUUCAAGUUUUGGGGAUGAAACGUUGGGUAAAUAAUUUUCAAUCCUUUGUGUUUUUCCACCUGUAUAUCUGUCACAGUUGGCACAAUUAAUUAUUUAUUUAUAAAAUAUUUUAUUUAUUUAUAAAAUAUUUUACCAGGAAAGAUACAUUGAGAUUUCUCUCGUUUUCAAGUAUGUCCUGGGUUAGGGCUGGUGUAAAAAAAUUCCAGGGCUGCUUUUUAUUCCCAGUCCGGCCCUGUCCACAUAAGUCCAUCCUUGCAAGCGCACUGUCUUGGCGUCAUACUUGAUUCUGGAGUCACAUUUGAGCCUCACAUCCAGUAUGUUGCCAAAUCCUGUAGAUUCCAUCUUAAAAGCAUAGCCCGCAUCCGCCCCUUUCUUACACAAAAUGCUACCAAGGAGAUUGUCCAUGCUCUAGUAAUUUCAAGCAUGGAUUAUUGUAACUCUCUCCUAAUUGGUCUUCCCAAUAGCCGUAUUGCCCCGCUACAGUCUGUAAUGAAUGCUGCCGCCAGACUGAUUUUCCUCUCCAGUCAGUCCUCUCACAUCUCACCCCUCUGACAGUCCUUACAUUGGCUUCCUGUAUCCUAUAGGAGUCAAUUCAAAGUACUAACCCAUACCUAUAAAGCAGUGAACAAUUCUAGCCCCUCUUAUAUCUCUUCACAGAUCCAUAGAUAUGCCCCUUCUCGGCCUCUCUACUCUGCCCGUGACCUUCUCCUGUCCAUUGUUCGCAGCCAUAUGGCCAACUCGCGCUUGCAGAACUUCUCGCGGACGGCUCCCUUCCUAUGGAAUAGCCUGCCUACCGCCGUCAGUCUCUCCUAUAGUCUUGCAUCUUUUAAGAAGUGCCUUAAAACCCAUCUCUUUAGGAAAGCUUAUGGCCUCAAAGACUAACCUCUACCUCAUAUACCUGUCUCUUGCUCUCUCCUAUAGGGCAGCACUCUACUUUCUCAUCCAGCUCUGCUUCACUCCCACCUUAUUUGAUUGAUAUUUCCUGUCCCAAUGUGUUUUAUACCACACAUCCUAUAGAAUGUAAGCUCGUUUGAGCAGGGUCCUCUUCAACCUAUCGUUCCUGUAAGUUUUCUUGUAAUUGUCCUAUUUAUAGUUAAAUCCCCCCUCUCAUAAUAUUGUAAAGUGCUACGAAAUCUGUUGGCGCUAUAAAAAUGGUGAUAAUAAUAAUAAUAAUAUGUGUAUCACAGUGAGUAUGUGUGGCACUAUAUGUGUAUAUGUGCAUAAAUCUCACCAUUCAAAUGCCAACACUACACACAAAUACACCCCUACAUUCAAACAUUAACAUUACAAACACCACUGCAUUGAAAUGUCAACAUACAAACAUACCAAAAUUAUAUACAACACCACCCCUGCGUUCAAAAAACAACACUACACAUAAAUGCAUGCUUGCAUUCAAACGCCAACGCUACAUACAAACACGCCCCUACAUUCACUCAAACAUACUCCAUUCAAAGACAUGCUUGUAUUCAAACACACAAACACUGCUCAGUGUUAAGUACAACUGUACAAGGAUGGGAAAAUGGUAGAGCGCCAGCUGUCAAAGCAUUGUUGGAGUUGUACGACAGAUGGGGAUCUAACUUUUGGCCACCCUUGUUGAUAGGGUUGGUCCCAAAAAAAGUCUUGCUCCAAGGCCCUCUCUACUUCAGUUCCGCCACCGCAUGGGGCCCUUCUCUGAUCCUUGCAUCAGACCUUUGUGAUUCAUAGUUCUACCCCUGCCUGGCAAUAUUUACUUAUUGGGAUAAUCCCCUCCCGAUAGUUUGAUUGACAGCUGAAAUGAGGCCAACUUGGUACUGUAUGCCUCUUGAAAUCAGUACUUUUAUAAAGUCUGACGGAGGGACAUGCCAUUAACCCCUAAAUCACCAAGCUGUGACCCUGACGGUUGGAUAGGUAGCUGUUUAAUUGGAUGUCUUUCAUUGUCUCUCUCUGUCUGUCUCUCCCUCUCUUUUUAUAGGUCUCUUUUCCUCUGUCAUUCAUUUAUUGCUGAUGGUCUAACCUCAUAUUUUGUAUUCUUUAAUGUUUAAACUUAAAUCAAAUAAAAGAUAAUUAAUUAUGCUUUUUGUAGUUUUCCCACAUCAUUUGUUAUUUUCCCCUCUCAUUUUCGCUCUGCUUGUGUCCAUAAAUAAUCUGUUCGAUGCACAGCCUGUGAUAAGGACAGUAUUUAUCGAGAACAACAAAACACAGCAAAUAUUGUUGUCAUAUACCUUUAUUUAGCCUCACGGCUAUGGCAAAUGACUUAAUGUCACCCUGAGCAUAUCAGAAGAGGUGAUGUAAACUUUACUCUAGAUGCCGGGCGUCUAAUGCUUUCCACUAAUGGAUUUAAUAAAUUAUAAGACAGAAACCGACAUAGACAAAAUCACAAAAGAUCAAUAUUCUGUUUUAAUCUUUACAGAAGAAACUCCAGUAAUUCAUUGACAUCAUGGUUGGGAAGGGGGGAUUAGGAACUAGAAUCAGUAGGAUUAUAAAGACACGGUGAUAAACCAUUUAAAUUCUCAAUCUUAUUUCGUGCUAGCUUGCAUUCGGUCUGUAUAAGGAACGUUUAUCACCCUGCUCAUCCUCCUGCUUAAUGGACUACCUGUGUCCAAAGAAACAAAGUAAUAAAAUAAUUAUAAAUGAUUAGACAAACUUGGGUUUGUGCACAAUAUGGAAGAAUAGAGAGCUAGACUCCGUUACACAUGUAGGAUCUGGUACCCCUGGAAAGCGUACUUUGUCUGCUGGUGUCCAUUUAAUGGUCUGGUUCCCUGUUGGGUGUUUUCUUCCUUCAAUCACACAAUAGAGCCAACUGCUCCUUUUGUGGUCUUUCUGCAUCGCAAUGAAUCUUUAUUGGCUGGUCCCACAUGUCCUUCUCCCCUCCUCCCUGACUCGUUGGCAUCGUAAUGUUUCUAUUUUUUUCUUUGUUCAUUGUUGCUUUUUUCUGUUGCUGGUUCCAGGAUGUCCAACUCAACACCUUCAUCCUCAUGUGUUGCUGAUUUCUCUAUUUUCUGUCUUUGCCAAAUACUGUGGUAGACAGUUUAUUUUAAAAAAAAAUGUGAAGGAGCAUGUGACCUUUGUCAACUCAAUUUUACCAUGGGGGUAGUUACAUAGCACUCUAGGUUGAAAAAAGACUAAAGUCCAUCAAGGUCAGACUUUAAAACCGAUUCCUUUCUGGUAUUGAUCCAAAAGAAGGCAAAAAAAAAAUUGUAGUGAUUUCCAAUGAGGCUAUAAAAAAGCUUUAAAAAAAAAAAUCUAUAGAAUCUGAUAAGACAACUUCAUUAAGCAGAGGAUUUCUUUUUUUGUUCUUACUGUAAAGAACCCUUUUCUCUGCUGUAGGUGAAAUCACUUUUCUUCCAGUCUCUCGUCUGUUGAGCAGGUUGGCAGAUAGUGGUUUGCACCGACCCUGUAUAUAUUUGUAUAGUGGUAUCAUAUGCCCUCUGAAUCACCUUUUUUUCUGAAGAAAAGAAAUCUAGUUUUGUAUCCUUUCUUCAUAACUGUUUUCUAUCUUCCUUAUUAAUUUUGUAGCUCAAUUCUGCACUUUUUCUAGUUCUGCAAAAUCCUUCUUUAAAAAUGCUGCCCACAAUUGCACCCAAUAUUCAAGGUGGGGUCUUACCAAUGAUUCAUGAUCUUACCGUUGAUUUAUAAUGAUUCAUGAAACACCAUUGUACCACAAAGUAGUAAAAGUGGAACACUCUCCAUGUCAUUCCAUUGAUGGCUUUUCCUCUUUCUACAGUUUCACAUAGUUUUUUAGAUCAAAAUACUUUGAUAUAUUUCCCCUGUGUGUUUUUAUUCCAAUUUAUACGUUAUUUUGCAUGUUUUUGUUUUGUGUUUUUAAAAUGUGAUCAUGGGUCCUUCUUUACCUGCUUCGUUCUACCCAUUCCUUUUAUCAAUAAACCAAUACCUGCCAUCGGGGUUGAAGGACCACAAAAGGCACCAAGCCAGUUUUAUCUCAAUGAAGAGAUCUGGGUGUAGUGGCCCUAUCAUUUGAACCCUUCAGUGAAAAGCAUUUCUGUUUUUGGAGGGUGAAAUAUACCUCUAGUGAUGGUUUACUGACUGUCUCUAGAACCAGUUCUUCAAUCAAAUGCAAUUAAUAGAGAUUAAGCAUGUGCAUGGGGAAAAUUUUCGGUUCGGCAUUCUGAAAUUCGGGACUUCGGCAAUUCGGGACUUCGGCAAUUCGGGACUUCGACACUUCGGAAUUUCGGCAUUUCAGGACUAUGGCACUUCGGGACUUCUCUUGCAGCCGCUUAGUAGAUAACUCCCUAAUUCCCACAGUAUUAGGGAGUUAUCUACCAAAAGGCUGAAAGACCUAAACUGGUCUUUCAGCCAAAUUUACUAAUACUAAGUAAAAAUUACUUAGUAUUAGUAAAUUUUGCCCCUACUCACUAUACCGCGAGUAGGGGCAUAUCUGUUAAGCAGUGAGCAGCCACCCGCGUCCCCAACGCGCGAGUGGGGGCUUUUAAACUAAAGGAGGUUCUAUGGAAUUUUCCCACGCUGUGUAAUUUGACUCAUAACAACACUCUGAUUGAUGGAUUGAAAGUAACCAAUCAGAGAGUUAUGAGUCAAAUUACACAGCGUGGGAAAACUUUCCCACGCUGUGUAAAAUGACACAGAGCAUUCUGAUUGGUGGAUUUCAAACUAACCAAUCAGAGUGCUGUGACAGGUAAAAGUAGAGACUAACCUGUCAGUCUCUUCAUUUAACUGUCAGAGCACUCUGAUUGGAUGGCUUAAACCCACCAAUCAGAGUGCUCUGAGCCUAAUUGCAGGGUGGGGCAAGACUCUAUAAGCCUUCCCCCGCCCUGCAGAGCUCAGUCUGCGCGGAGCCCUCCAUGGGUGAAGAAGGAUUUUUUUUUUUUUUUUAAAGUGCGUCAGUUAUUCUGGAUUUUUAUUUGGCCUUAUUUGGGGCUGAAAAAAGAAGAUUUUAGAAGAAAGAAAACAUCAAAUGGUAAGUUUUUUUUUUUUAACAGAUACUUAGUUAAUGCCCCCCCAUCAUUAUUUUUAGGGUGAGGGGGAUAGCUAGGGGUUAGUUUUUUUAGGGAGGGGGUAACUAGGGAUUUGGGAACCCUAGUCACCUGGGGGGGUUACUUUUUUAUUUUUAGGGGUGGGGGCCAGGGGGGAGGACAAUAGGUCCCCCCCCAUUAGUAUUUAGGGCCCCCACCCACCACUCAGAAGUGGGGGGCAGGGAGGAGGACAUUAGGUCCCCCCCUUAUUUUAAUUUAGGGCCCUCACCCAUUGCUCAGGGGUGGGGGUCAGGGGGGAGGAUAUUAGGUCCACCGCCCUUAUUAGUAUUUAGGGCCCCCAACCGCCGCUCAGAAGUGGUGGGCAGGGGGGAGGACAUUAGGUCCCCCCCUUAUUCUAAUUUAGGGCCCCCACCUGCCGCUCAGGGGUAGGGGCCAGGGGGGAGGACAUUAGGUUCCCCCCCUUAUUAUAAUUUAGGGCCCCCACCCGCAGCUCAGGGGUGGGGGCCAGGGGGAGGACAUUAGGUCCCCCCUUAUUCUGAUUUAGGGCCCCCACCCGCUGCUCAGGGGUGGGGGCCGAGGGGAGGACAAUAGGCACCACUUAUUCUAAUUUAGGUCCCCCACCCACCGCUCAUGGGUGGGGUCCGGGGGGAGGACAAUAGGUCCCCCCCUUAUUUAACUUUAGGGCCCCCAUCCGCCGUUCAGGGGUGGGGGCGGGGGGGGCAAUAGGCACCCCUUAUUCUAAUUUAGGUCCCCCACCCACCGCUCAUGGGUGGGGUCCGGGGGGAGGACAAUAGGUCCCCCCCCUUAUUUAAUUUUGGGGGCUCGGGAGGGGGGGACAUUUUUUUUUUUUUAACAGUGACCAGUCAUGGGCUGCUCACUGUUUAAUAGACAUGUCCCUACUCGCGGUAUAGCGAGUAGGGGCAUGACUUACUAAAACUAAGUAAUUUUUACUUAGUAUUAGUAAAUUUGGCUGAAAGACCAAUUUAGGCAAAAUAAAGCAUUAUCUAUUUAAUUAAUUAACCAGUGAGUGUCUUUUUUAACGAGUUACAAAAAAACUCUUUCACCCCAUUCCGAUGUCUGCUAAUUUCUGACACAACGUGUCUGUCCGACUGUGCAGCGUUGGCUUCUCAGCUUGGAGUGCUGUUUGGCCAGGUACAAAAGGUUCUGUUCUUGGAUUUGUCAUUUGCGUUGGAUACAGUCAAUCACUUGCUCCAACUCCUGAAACUUCUCAGAGUUUAGCAGAGACUGAUUUACCAUUUCCCCAUUCCCAAUGUACUCUGCAAACAGUCAGCCAUCGGCUUAGCUGCUCCAUAUCAUCCAAAUUUCAUGUUUCUUAUUUCGAUCAUAGUUUAGACGAUGCCUGAAAUUUCUCUCUGAUCCUCGGUUAAAUCCUCUGAAACAAAUAAUGUGGGAUAACUAAUUCUGUUAUAUGUAUGGAGAUUAGAAUUUACUAUUGUGAACUAUGUAAAACUUAAUCACAUUAUCUAACGUACAUCGGGUCUAAAAUUCCUUUCAUAAGACAACAUGAAAUUUCAGAAUGUUAAAAUAUCCCCAUUUGCAUUCCGUUCCUAUCUGUAGGAAUAAUAUACAAGACAUGACAAAUAUAAUCCCAUUUCCACAUGUGAUUUCAGCUUUUUAACCAGACUCUGCGAGUCGAGAACGCUCAAAUUAAAGGAGAUAUGUAAUGUAUGAUUGUCACUGCAUCGUCACUCAGCGAUGUCAGAACUGACGGAACUCUGGGAUGAAGUUUUUAAAAUCUGUUAUGCAGUGGUUUCCUUUUAAUUAGAAAUUAAUACAAGUGUCUUACCAGCCCAGCCCAGCCCAGGGGGAGAGGUGAGGUGCUGUUAACUUCUAUUCACCAGGCUGGAGGUUGGUGUUAAUGUGAGGUUUAACAGCAAAAAUAGGGAUACCGGUUGGAAACCAGUCUCUAACUACCAGUGAUCGGAUUCCACUGGGAAUAAAGGACGGUGUUGGCCGCUAUUAGGCUGGUAAUUCUUUGUCGCUACUGGUGUGGAUACAGAGGGUGCAAUCUACGUGUACCAAGGAGAACUUCAUUCAUGUCAAACUGCCUCAAACUAGUGUGUCAUACGCUCAUAGCAUCAACACUGACACAAUGAAUAAUCAAGUCAUACCGUUUGCACUACAAGAGGAAUAUCGUUUUGGGCUGUUUUAUUCCUUUUGACAUAACCCCCGAGAAUUUCCCACUAAAGCACGGUUUCACAGAACACAUAGGGCCACGCCACCCUCGCUGAUUGAGUUAUUGCAUUCAAUGUUAUUUCUAAUGUUCCCUAAGACUUACACAAGAUAUGUCAUUGAUAAUUCGUAUUGAUUUGCUUCUCUGCCCGGCCAUAUAAAAGAGAAAAAUGAUGACUUUCCGGGACCUGCGUGUCCUACUACUCUGCAUUUUGAUAUUGCUGUUGGACUCCAAUAAAACCUUAAUUCACAAUAAAAAUCAAAAUACUGCCACAAUGAGCUAUAGUGGUUUUUAUUUGUGAAUCCUCGUACUCUAAUACUUUGUACAGGAUUCUGAUGCGAAAGCUCCAAUUUUAAUCUAGACUAUAAAUCCCUAUUCACAUUUAAAUAACUGGAGGCUUUUAGUAUCACCCCAGUGGCCAGUAGAGUGUAAUGCCUUUAAACCUCCAGUUAUUUAGAUGUGCAUAGGGAAUUGGGAUAGUGCGCAAUUCCCUAUGCAUGUAGGGAGGCUGACGUGUUCUAUAGUCCUUGCUUCCGCCCAGGAGUAGUGGGAGUUUGAGCGCAGGGCUUCAUUCUGUAUGUUUGAUUGCUGCAGAUUGGCUCAUGGAGACAAAAUUCCAACUAUAUUUGGCCUGAGUAAAAGUGAGAAUUUGGUGCCACUAUAAAUGGAUUUAUAAGCAAUUAUACAGAUUACAGAGGCACUUCAAGAUGUCUUUGUGUGCAGCGUGUGGUGGCUAAACUCUAUAACACGAUCGCUUUCUACACAAGGACGAACGUACACAUUGUAAGCGGCUUCAUAUGGAGAGGUUUCAGCGUUCGUCUUAAUCCUGACAACUCUAAUUAGUAAAUAACAAGACAAAUAAACAGUUCAAGCAGUGACGGACUUCUUACCCCAUUUUAAUUAUGAUUUACCUUCUUAAUAAAGCAUAUUUGCAUACACUUCUAUUUAUGAACUAAUUAGCAUCUGGAACACAAAGUAACUUGCCCAAUGUGACAUUGAGUUUAGACUCUCGGCCCAUUCAUUAAAAGCCCUAAAAAAAAAUACAUAAAAAUGCUCUCUGAUCCCUAAUUGUUUUAAAGGAACAAUAAAGGCAUUAUUUUUCCAGUAAAAUAUCCCAAAUAUAAUUUUUUAUUACUUCCAAUGUAUUAAAUAGUGUUAAAGGAAGACUGUAAAGUUUGACUCCCACUUACUUUGGUUGCUGACCGUAGAAUCCAACUCUGCCAGUGUUCCAUGCUGUCAUAGGGUGAUACAUGCGCUCAGCAUUAAAAUUGGAGUCGUCUUAGCACCUGUCAUACAAACAAACCUGACCAUCCAUGCCGGGCCAGACUGAGGAUACAAUGAUACACUGAUUAUUUCAAAUGAUAAAUGUUGUGGUGUGCUGCUCUGCUAAAUAAGAGGAAAUGUGUCUCUGUAUUUACACGGCAUUUUAGUACGGAAUUGGAACUCUAGUGUAAAACCGUUGGGAUAAUUCUUAUAAUCAAUAGAGAUUCCAAGCUAGAAUGGAAGAGGUAUUAGCCUUACUAUAAUAAACUCAGGGAAAAACAUACCGUAUGGUAGAACGGGUCAAAAAGAAUAAACUUAAGUAAUUAAAGACUGUUUAUAGUUAUAUUCCUUUAUAGCUGACCCCUAGGGCAUCUAUAUCGCCUCCACCUAAUAGUCUAUUUUAUAUACGUCAGUUUGAUUUUUGUUAAAUGUUGUUUAUUUUUUUAAUGGAAAUAAAUUUUGUUUAUAUUAUACAUGAAGGGAAAUUGUAUUAUUAUUAUUAUCUAUAAAGCGCCAACAAAUUCCACAUCUAACAGACACAUAUUUAUAACCAGACGAGUUGGACACACAGUAACAGAGGGAUUGAGGGCCCUGCUCGAUGAGUUUACAUGUUUGAGGGAGUGGGGUAUAGUGACACAGUAACAGAGGCAGUGGUGUACACAUGACCCAUGGGGCCCCGGUGCGAAAAUUGAUCCGUGGGCCCCCCCCCGCGCUUACUAGGCGCGGGUCGGGGCCGCAACACAUGGCUGCGGGCACCUGGUCGCAGGGGUUGCAGGGCUGCGACCCCGCGACCGCGGCAUGCACACACACUUAAAGGACCACUACAGACACCCAGAUCACAUCAGCUCAAUGAAGUGGUCUGUGUGCCAGGUCCCUCUGGUUUUAACCCUGCAGCUGAAAACAUAGCCGUUUCAGAGAAACGGCUAUGUUUCACUGGGGGUUAAUCCAGCCUCUAGUGGCUGUCUCAUUGACAGCGGCUAGAGGAGCUUCCGCAAUUCUCACUGUGAAAAUCACAGUGAGAAGACACUGAACGCCCAUAGGAAAGCAUUGAGUAAUGCUUUCCUAUGGGCGGUUUAAAUGCGCGCGCGCCUCUUGCCGCGCAUGUGCAUUCGGAGCUGAGAGGAGGAGGGAUCCCCAGCGCCAAGGGAGUCCGACGCUGGAGAAAGGUAAAUGCUGGAGACACACACUCUCACGAACAGACGCAUACACACUAGCUAACAGACACACACACACACAUACACACUCACAAAACAUACACUUUCACUGACAAACACACACUCACUAACAGACAUCAAACACACUCAGUAACAGACACACACAGUAACACACUCACUAGCAGACACACACCCAAUAACAGACACACUCACUGACACACACCCUAACACACACACACACACACACACUAACACUAACAUACACACAAACACACACACACAAACACUAACAUACACACACACUAACAUACACACACACACACACACACUAACACACACACACACACNNNNNNNNNNNNNNNNNNNNNNNNNNNNNNNNNNNNNNNNNNNNNNNNNNNNNNNNNNNNNNNNNNNNNNNNNNNNNNNNNNNNNNNNNNNNNNNNNNNNGGGCCUGCUCAGUGAGUUUACAUGUUAGAGGGAGUGGGGUAUAGUGACACAGUAACAGAGGGAUUGAGGCCCCUGCUCAGUGAGUUUACAUGUUACAGGGAGUGGGGUAUAGUGACAGUAACAGAGGGAUUGAGGCCCUGCUCAGUGAGUUUACAUGUUAGAGGGAGUGGGGUAUAGUGACACAGUAACAGAGGGAUUGAGGGCCCUGCUCAGUGAGUUUACAUGUUAGAGGGAGUGGGGUAUAGUGGACACAGUAACAGAGGGAUUGCGGGCCCUGCUCAGUGAGUUUACAUGUUAGAGGGAGUGGGGUAUAGUGACACGGUAACAGAGGGAUUGAGAGCCCUGCUCAGUGAGUUUACAUGUUAGAGGGAGUGGGGUAUAGUGACACACAGUAACAGAGGGAUUGCGGGCCCUGCUCAGUGAGUUUACAUGUUAGAGGGAGUGGGGUAUAGUGACACGGUAACAGAGGGAUUGAGAGCCCUGCUCAGUGAGUUUACAUGUUAGAGGGAGUGGGGUAUAGUGACACAGUAACAGAGGGAUUGAGGACCCUGCUCAGUGAGUUUACAUGUUGUUAGAGGGAGGUGGGGGCAUAGUGACACACACAGUAGCAAGAGAGGGAUUGAGGCCUGCUCAGUGAGAGUUUACAUGUUAGAGAGUGGGAAUAUAGUGACACAGUAACGAGAGGGAUUAGAGGUCACUGCUCAGUGAGUUUACAUGUUAGGAGUAGGUAUAGUGAGCAGCAACACUUAGAGGGAUUGAGGGAGCCUGCUCAGUGAGUUUACAUGUUGGGGAGUGGGGGUAUAGUGACACAGUAACAGAGAGUUGAGGGGCCCUGCUCAGUGAGUUUACAUGUGGGGAGUAGGUAUAGUGACACAGCAGAGGUUGAGGCCCUGCUCAGUGAGCUUACAUGUUAGAGGGAGUGGGAGUAUAGUGACACAGCAAGAGGAUUGAGGGAAUACUCAGUGAGUUUACAUGUUAGAGGGAGUGGGGUAUAGUGACAGUAACAGAGGGAUUGAGCCCUGCUCAGUGAGUUUACAUGUUAGAGGGAAUGGGGUAUAGUGACACAGUAACAGAGGGAUUGAGGGCCCUGCUCAGUGAGUUUACAUGUUAGAGGAAGUGGGGUAUAGUGACACAGUAACAGAGGGAUUGAGGGCCCUGCUCAGUGAGUUUACAUGUUAGAGGGAGUGAGGUAUAGUGACACAGUAACAGAGGGAUUGAGGGCCUGCUCAGUGAGUUUACAUGUUAGAGGGAGUGGGG